rnacentral:lncRNA from 1 species
AGCACAUCAACAACUGUUACCCCAGAGUGUUCCAAAUAACAUGUCAUCUGCUGGAGUUCAAAGUUCUACUGGUUUACAAUCUGGGAUGCCUUCUGUGUCUGGUCCAACCCAGAAUUCUAUACCUAAUGUUGUUGGCCAGAAUUCCAACAUGCAAAACUUGUCUGAAAUUUCACAGAACUCACUGGGGCAAGGGAUAUCUUCCAAUAUUUGUACUAAUCAUCAGAGGCAAAUGCAAGGAAGGCAACAGGUGCUACCGCAACAGCAGCAGCACCUUUGCUUGCAGGGUUCGAAAUUACCUGCACCUGACACACCUGGUAAUGGUAUGUCAACAUCACCUUUGCUUGCAGGGUUCGAAAAUGCUAAUGAUACUCACAGUAAUGCUUUAACAACUGAUUUUGGCGAGUCGAAGGAUACAGAAGAGCCACAUGUUCCCAGAGUUACCAUGGUUAGUGGAGCUUAAUUAAUUUUCAUUCUUCGCAUGCUCUUUUUUCAAUUUUCCCCUUUGGCUUGAUAUGUUGGUCAUGUGGUGAAAGAGUGGUAAAAAUGCUUGAAAUCCUUCUCUUUGUUUUUUUUCCUUUUGAUUUUAUCUUCUAGUAUAGUUUGUUUUAGCUUUUGAAAUGAUUUUGGUCUAUUACUAUUUGGUAUGUUUCAGGCUAAACCCAUGUCACUUAAAUCAUUGGAGGCAUCUAUUGUCGUCAUGGUUGAGGAGGCAGCCACUGCCGUUGGUGUGGAUAUGGCCGCCUUGAGCAAGGGUGGUCUGCAUCGAAGAAAUUUCUUUCCACAAACUGGAAUGACUGGAGCCGAGAAAAUGAGAUUCUACAUGAGUGCACUGGCUAUAUUAGCUCUAAUGUUUUGGUUCAUUAUAAUAGCAUCUGCAUGAGCAGUAGCAAACAAAUUUCCAAAGCUUUUAAUAUUUGGUUAAAGGAGGAAAGACGCAUUGGUUAUGGCAUGGAUUUCUCUCCUAAUAAGUCAUGACUAUUGACUGAUGAUACUAUUACGACAAAUUGUUGACAGGUGUUUGCUUAUUUAAAGGUUUUUGAACUUGUUUACAUUCCUAUCAAAUAUAUUAGGAGAUGCAUGCAUCAAAGUUCAUGCCGUUUAAGCCUCAGUGCAUGCAGUUUCUGACCAAUCUAGCCAUGUAAUAACACUAAUUAUCUAACUAAACACAUAAUUUGACCCUAGCUUUUUUUAUCAAGUGACAAGGGUGUUUAGGGUUUUAUGUUUGGGUCGAUCUAAGGUUAUUCAAUGCCUUUAGGUGAAGAGCCAUCUAGAUUAGAAAUACCUAGAUGUAAUAAGGGAUAAUGAUCACUUUUAUUUUUCAAGAGGAAAGAGAUAAAAAGAAGGUAAAGUUGGUAUUGAUUUGACGAAAUGUCACAUUUGUAGUCAAAUUUGCUAAAUAUUCAUUGAUGGAAGUGGACCCUUGCAUGUGCUGCACUGCCUGCAGAAAUUGGUCCCGUUUUAUUGCUUAAGAUUCUUACUCGCUAUGGGAUCUUUCUUUUCUUUUCUUUUCUUUUUUAAUGAUAUCAUUAUGACUAUUCUUAGAUUUUGUGGAAAUUUAAUUUUUUUAGAUAAUUUUAAGAAUAUAUUUUUUCAUAUAAAUCUCAUGUAUAUACUUUUUUUUUUGUUUCAAAAUGUCAUUUAUUAAUUUUAACAAAAUUUAAGAAAAAAUUUUAGAUUUUAGUGUGUUUAAUUUUAAAAUUUAAAUUUUUUUUAAAAUUAAAGUUUUAUGACUUUUAAUGUCAAAAAGUUAAAAAAAUCUAAAAUUUAAUUUUAAAAUAUAAAAAAUAAAUUUUUUAAAUGUUAAAAAAAUCCAACAUAAUUUGAGACAUUUCAGAAAGGAAAGAUUGAAAAAAAAAAAGGACAAAAAGAAUAUGAUUUUAUUUUUAUAUAUUUUUCAUAAAAAAUGAAUCCUAAUUAAUACGAAUAAAAAUGUAAAAAAAAAAAAAAAAGACAACAAUAGAAAUCCAAACUUGGAAGGAAAAAAAAAAAAAAGAUUAAGUGGGCCAACUUUAACAUGCAAGGUUCGCAUUAGUAAAUUCCAAAUGUUGCCAUGUAAUUGUAACCUAAUCAUUUUCACUAAACUUACUACAACAAUUUUGAUUUUAAGUGACGAUUUUUGAUUAAAAAUGUAAAUGAUAAAUUAAUAUUUGUAAGUUAUUCGGAUUCGAUUCGAAUAAAAUUCGAAUUCGAUUCGAUUAUUAUCGAAUCAAGUUCGAGUUCGAGUAAUUCGAUUAAUCGAUCGAAUCGAAUUCGAGUAUUUUAAUAUUUAGCUCGAGUAGCUCGUUAGUUUAAUCGAACUUUUAUAUUUAAAUUUUUUUUAUUAUUUUAGUUAAUAAAAUAUCUUGAAUUCGAGUUCGAAAUCAAGCACAAAUAAUCGAGUUCUUGUCGAACAUAAAAAUUGAACUUAUUUUUAUAUAUUUUUGAGCUUAAUCGAAUAAGUUCGAGUAGUUUGAAUUCGAUCACGAAUCGAGUUCGAAAUAAAAAAAUGAAUCUCGAUCGAACUCGAAUUGAAUAUCAAAUUACGAAUUGAGAAUCAAACUAUAAUUUAAAAUUCUCAUUGUAUCCACUUAACUCUUACUUUUGACAAUAAUUUUGUGAAAGAGUGGCUUAAGAAAUUUUAGCCCACGAUUUUUACCGUUGUCAAAGGUAAACUUUUUGUAGUAAGGAAGUGAUAAACUCAAUGGCCAAUGGCCUUCAAGUUUUUUUUUUUUUUUUCUUGCUUUCGAAUCAAAGAGCACCAUUUUUUUUUUUCGUGCUAAUCGACUUGCUAGAAUUUUUUUUUUUAAUUUGAAUUCAAAAAUUUUAAUUUUAAAAUCAAUUUUAAUAUUAUUAAAUUAAUUUAUCAUUAUUCAUUAUUAAGUAAAAUUUUAUAUAUUAAUCUUAAAAUGAUGAAUUAUAAUUAUUAUACAUCAAAUUCAAUUUUUAUCGUAUGAUAAUUUAUUUCAAUGUAUAUUGUAUUUUCCUUGAUAACAUAUUGAUUUGUUAAGAAUUGAUUUUCUUUUAUGUAAAAACUUGUUUAUUUGACUAAUUAUGUUUGUAAUAUUUUUUUGUAAAUGUAUUUAGCUAAUUAUGUCUCAUAAAAGAAUUUGGGUCUUGGAAGAAAAUUGAAUAAUUUAGUUAAAUUAUAUAAUAAUCAACUAAUACUUCCUUAUUAUAAAUAAAUGAAUUACAACUAGAUCUAUUAAAUUAUAAAAAAAUUACAAUUAAAUUUGAUAAUUUUAAAUAUGAUAUAUUGAUAUAAUAUAAAAAUUAUAUACAAAGUAAAAAAAUAAUAUGAUUUAGGAUUUUAAACAAAAUAAUAUGAAAUUUAAAUAAUAAAAAAUAUAUUUUAUUUUUAACGUAUUAAUAUACAUUUUGAAAUGAUAAUCUUAAACAUAUUAAAUACAAAAUAAACAUGAAAUAAAUAUAAAAAUUGUCUAAUUACAACACUCCUUAUUAAGUUGGUUAGGAAAUUAGGAAAAUUUUCACCAUUGAUUUUGUAUCAAUUUUGUAAAAAAAUAUAAGAAAAAAAAAUCAAAAGAAUUUCACAUUUUCCAUUACAAGUUUUUAUAAAAACAAUACUAACAUAUUUUAUUUUGAUAAAUAAAUUUGAGACAAACAAAUUAUUUACAAAUAAAAUAACAUUAAAAUUUAAAUCUAAAAUUAUUUUUUAACUGAAGUGUAGGAACCAACCUUAAUUGCUUCAAUUAAUUUUAUUAUAACAAAAAAGUGGUUAAUUCCCAAAUAAAAAUGCAUGAUUGUAAAAAUAAUGUCAACAAAAAAAAUACAAAUUUUUUAAAGAGAAAAAUUAAAAAGUGCAAGGAAGGAAUAACAACAAAAGUCAAAAUUGAUAAAAAAAAAAUCAAAAUUAGGGUUUUUUUUUUUUUUUAAAUCGUCAUUAUUUGUGGACAUGAAAAAUAAUAAUAAAAUUAAAAUAAAAACGCCGACAACAUACAAAGAUAUGUGCCUAUAAAAGUCAUUGCCAUUCACUACGAUCCAGCACAUGACUUUCUUUCCCUUCUUCCCGUCUAAGCUUCUUGUUUCUCUUUCUUUUCUCUUACUUUCUUUUCAACCAAACAAAUAAAUUUCAGUUGGUUUUCCUCCUUUUAUUUUCUUCUAAUAAUAUUUAUUUGUACGUGAGAGUUAGGUAUUUUUCCAAUUAUGCCAAAAAGAAACAAAAAAGAAAUUUUAUAAUUUAUUCUCUGUAUAAUCAAAGGUAAUCUGAGGCGUGGGUUUAAUUCAAUCUGGGAUUUGGUAUUUGAAAAAAAAAAUUCUUGAGGAAUUGUCGAAGCGGAUCUCUCUUAGGAGCUCUUCGUUGAGGUAAAAUUUUCAAACUUUUUAUAGGUUUUACGAUUCUGUUGCCUUAAUUUCCUCGAAAAUCUUACGUGGGAAUAUGUUUUUGACUGUAAGAAUAAAAGAUUUCAUUUUUUUAUUUAAUAUCACCCGGUAAUUAACUUUGUAUUUUUUUUAAUCUUUUUGCCUUAAAAAAAAUUAGAAAGGUUGCUAGUAUAUUUGGAUACCCAAUAAUGAAAGCAACCCCCAAAAGCAGAUUAUUUCUAUUAAACAUGAUUUAAAUCAUGGAUUUUGUUAAUAUUUCUAAUUCUCUUUCUCUUUGUUUUUUCAUUUAAUGAUAUAUGAUAAAGUUCUAGUUAUGGGGACUGAUUUCAUUGGGAAAAUGUCAAAUAUUUAGCUAGAAAAGUUUCAAGUGCAGUUGUUUUUGGUUAGAAGGCUCAACCUUUUAACCGUGAGCCUUGGUAGCAUUCUCAGAAGCCAACUAACAAUUAAUUCUUUAGUGAAUAGCAAUUGGUUGAGUAUUAGCAUUGCUUUCCAGUGAUGUGCUGGUCUAGUGGUGAAAGUAGUGGUGUUUUAGUGAGUUACAGUCCUCCUUAGGUGCAUGACCAAUGGCCUAGGACAGAGAGAAAAAUCGGAAUCUUAAGAGCCUUGUGAAGAAGGGUUUCCUAGUAUUAGUAUUAAAUCAACCAAAUUGACAUCCAAUUGUAAAGUUGUGGUUUACAUAGCAAACUAUCAUCUUCAACUUAAGUCAUGGUUGUAGGGUGUCUGUGAGUGUCUAGUAACAUGUCUUGUCAUUUUGUAAGAGUGCGGCAAAUGAUGUGUACUGUCCACUUUAUCUUACAACAUUAACAAAAAUGAAAUCCUGCUCUUAUGUAUAAAUUUAUGGUUGCAAAAACUGUGUUUUACCCCGAGUUUCUUAUCAAGAGAAGGGGGGUGUUUAUUGCUACGAACUUUGUCAAAUGUUUUGCAUAUUUGAGAAGCGAUUAGUGUCCAAACUUACAAGUUUUUCUUUUUCACUUCCUUUAAUAUAUGACAAAAAAUUUGAUGUGAAUUGUUUGUGACUUUUCUUUUCUCUUUUGAUGUUGUCAGAAUUUGAUGGAUACCAAUAACUGGAGGCCUACUCCUGCCAGUGGAGAGCCCACCAUGGAUACAGGUGAAUGGAGAACCCAGUUGCAGCCUGAUUCACGACAAAGAAUUGUCAACAAGAUGUAAGUGAAUUUUAUGGUAUUAUUAUUUGUUAAAUAUACUCGUUGUAUUUAAGUUACUGAUAUUCUGUGGCAUGUCUUUUACAGUUUCAAUAUUGUUAAUAACCAAACAAUACCAUCAAUAAAACCAUAUAUCCUAUUCCAGAGCGCUUUCUUUGUUUUGUAAAUACAUAGCUCAAAAAUCAAAGCUUGCUCUUACCCAGAGUUUGGGCACAAUAUAUGGGCCACGUAUCUGGAAGCCUGAUGUGGCAAAGCUAUUGGGUCCAAUUCUGUGUGGCAUACUUGGUAUCGACAUUUAAUGAAUUUAUGUGAUUGAAUGAGGAUAAAUUUUGCUUUUAGAUCUUUUGCUUCUUGUAAGCUUGGGACUUGUUUUCUCAUUCGAGUGCUACAGUAUAUGAAUUGAUGGUUCUCUUUUCUUCUUACUAACUGAAUUAUACCCAUUCAUUAAAUAACUUAUAGCUGUAACGGACGCUAGUGGUCUUGCUUUUCUAUAUCAUUUUAUGAACGAUGGUAAUUUUGGUAUGUGGUCUAUUUGAAUGUAGCUGAUAUAUGAGGGUCAUGAUGGCCACUUUAUUUAUUUGGGAGAACUUUGUUAAAUUCCAAUGCCAUGGCUUCUGGAUUUUUGAAUGAGACAGUCCUGAACAAGUUAAUGAGGAAAAUCUUUUGGUGGUCAGAUUAUAUCCUGGUUGAUUUUCAUUUGAUUUUAUGUUAACUUCACAAUUUGGUCAUGGCAUUUUAUUAACCAUGGAAGAUUCUUAUAUAUAUACUAUUGGUUUGUCGAUAACUUACACAAUGCCUUGUGUGCAUAGAAUGGACACAUUGAAGAGGCACCUUCCAUUUUCUGGCCAAGAGGGUUUAAAUGAACUCAGGAAAAUCGCAGUAAGGUUCGAGGAAAAGAUUUUUACAGCAGCAAACAGCCAGGUAAUCAUAGAAUAUUGGCAUUCCUUAACCUGCUUGGAUGCAUUGUUGUUUACCUAUAUUUUGUUUGUUUGCGUUGUGUGAAUGUAUCUUUGUGUUUCUUGUUUUUCUUAUUCAUAUGUAUAGACAUGCAUACACCUAGACUCCUUGUCAAUUACAUUGGAAGUAAAUAAGAAAGAAAUCCAGGGAGGAAAGAGAGCAGAGGUAGGAAAAAAAAAGAUGCUAAAUGCUAACUCAAUAUUAAACAUGGUUAAUAUAACAUAUUUGAUAAUCUUGUCUUGUUUUUGAAUAAUGAAGUAAAGCUUGUUUACUCUAAUGCUGUAAUGGAUUUCUAUAUUCAGUCUGAUUAUCUAAGGAGAAUAUCCUUGAAGAUGCUUACUAUGGAGAACAAGUCUCAGAAUACUAUACCCAACACUGGGAAUAACAGCAAGGCCCCUGAUCCAGGUAAUAUCAGGAAACAGCAUUUUGCUUUGAUGUAUUCUUGAAGUAGGACACUUUCCAUUUACAUGUCCUUUCUGUUCUUUUACAUGCAGAGUUGUUUAACUUGCAACAUUUAUGCACAUAUUCUUUCUGCAACUAUUCGAAUUAAAAUUAUCUGUAUUUUAACUCUUUUGUCCCCUUAACAAAGCGUGGUUGUUUUGGUGGGGUGGAGUUGUUUAAGUGAUAGAUUUGGUGAGCACCCAAAUAGAAAGCCCGUUUUGCUGUUUCCAUGAUUGAAGUCUUUCAGCAUGGGUUGCACCUCUUCAUGUGCUAGGCCUAGGAAUAAUUUUAUUAUUUUUUCAUGAUCCUCAUGGUAUGGUUCAAUUGCCCUCACACGUUUUAAGUCAUCUUUUUGAAUGAUCCUCGUGCUUCAGUAUUUUUGUUGUUUAUCUUGCUCUAAAGUUUCUUCAAUUCAGUUCUUGUGGGUUCUUCCCAACUUUUCUUUCUGAAUAUAAAAUCGUGAGUAGGUUCUCAGGGCAUGCAAAACCAAGUUCACAGUCAAGGGCAAUCAAUUCCUAUCCCAUUACAAAGUAAUCAGUCUCAAGCACGUCAACAACUGUUAUCCCAGAGUGUUCCAAAUAACAUGUCAUCUGCUGGAGUUCAAAGUUCUACUGGUUUACAAUCUGGGAUGCCUUCCGUCUCUGGUCUAACCCAGAAUUCUAUACCUAAUGUUGUUGGCCAGAAUUCCAACAUGCAAAACUUGUCUGGAAUUUCACAGAACUCACUGGGGCAAGGGAUAUCUUCCAAUAUUUUUACUAAUCAGCAGGGGCAAAUGCAAGGAAGGCAACAGGUGCUACCACAACAGCAGCAGCAGCAGCAACUAUACCAUCAGCAGUUACAACACCAACUUUUAAAGCAAAAGAUUCAACAAGGAAAUAUCCAGCCCUCACUUAUGCAGUCUCACAUGCCGCAACAGCAACAGCAAAACCUGUUACCAUCUACUCAGUUGCAAUCUUCCCAGCAAUCUAGUAUGCAAACAUCAUCUGUUAUGCAGCCAUCUGCCAUGCAAUCAACUCCUCUUACUGGUCUUCAAAAGAAUCAACAAUCUUCUCUACAACAGUCAGUCCUUAGACAGCAGCAACAGCCACAAGUGGCCACCAGUGCUGGUAUUCUUCAACAACAAACAGCAAUGACACAGCAGUCAAUGAUGCCUCAGCAGCAACAACAGCCUCCACAGCCACAGCAGCAGCCACACAUAAUGGGACAACAGACAAAUGCUGCAAAUAUACAGCAGAAUCAGUUAAUUGGACAACAAAAUAGCAUUGCGGACAUGCAGCAGCAGAGAUUGCUAGGCCAGCCUAAUAAUCUUCCAAACCUGCAGCAGCAGCAGCAGCAGCAGCAGUUAAUGGCUCAACAAAACCUCUCAAAUAUCCAUCAGCAACAGUUGGGUCCACAAAGUAAUAUUUCAGGAUUACAGCAACAGCAGCAGCAGCAACAACAAUUGAUUGGAACCCAGUCGGGUAACUCAAGCAUGCAAACUCAUCAGCAAUCUUUACACAUGCUACCUCAGCCUAAGGUUUCACUCCAACAAACGCAGCAGAGUGCACCUAAUUUGUUAGCAACUCAAGGACAGACAUCCCAGCAGCUGCAGCAGCAACAGCAACUGAUGUCACAGAUGCAAUCACAGACUACUCCGCUGCAGCAACAAUUGGGUUUGCAACAGCAGCCCAAUCAAUUACACCAAAAUAUGCAGCCUAGGCUUCAAGCAUCAGGUCAAGUAUCAAGUUCCUUGCUUCGAUCACAAAAUUUGAUAGAUCAGCAAAAGCAAUUGUAUCAAUCACGCAGAGCUGUUCCAGAGACAUCAUCGAGUAUGUUUUUGAAUCUAUGCAGUUGCUUAUUUUGUUCUUUCUUUGUCUUUCUGAUCGUGUUAUUUGACUAAUCUAUGUAAUUUUUUCCUCUGAUACUUGCACAUUUUAUCCUUGAAGCCUGAAAAAAAUCUAUUCUCUCAUAUAGCUACUAUAGUUGAUGCUAUUGUUUUGCUUUGCAUUUCUAUUACAGAAAAUAAUUUCCAUUCCAACUUUGGGGGGAUUAAGAGAAUAUCUUUUUGAACUUGUACUAUGUUGUCCUAUCAAAGCACAUUUUGCCUGGAUGCUUAGUCCAUAGCUAACAAAGACAAAUGCUACCAAAAUUAAUGGCACCCUUGCCUUCAUAAGCUGAUCAUGGGCACUGCCUGGCUUUUUAUGCCACCAGAAACAUUGUUGUUACCCAUGUCACUGCUAAGUCUCCACUGUUGUCACUGUGCUAUUAUGUUACUCUUAACACUCACUGCAGUUAUUUUGCAAUGGUUUUGUCAAACCACAAAGUAAUGGCUGGAUUUAAUCUAUUCAUUUUAUCAACAAAUAAUUGAUGCUGUUUUAUUCAAUGAGUUUUCAUGUUGGCUAUAAAACAUUCUUCUGGAAAUAAGUAAACUGUGUUUUGUGUGCAAAGAGAAGUGACCAUUUUGUUGGUUAAGUUCAAAAAGCAGAAACAAAAUGCAUAAACUCACUCAUGCUCUUCAUAUUCAUUUGAAAUUUAGAAUGGUGAGAUAUUUCUAGCAGUUUGUUUGAUUUUGUCGGGUUGGUGAGAUUCCUCUGUCCAACUUAAAUAUUGCUGUUCUUUCUGGUAAUCUAGCUUUCAAAAAUGUUCCUAUUACUUAAUUUAACAUAAAAUUAGGAUUAGGAGAUUGCAGUCCUGUUUGAGAACGGCUAGUUACUGUUUUUGCAUCAAAAUAGAGGGUAAACAUGCUUGCAAAUGUCAGAGGAAUUUUGUUUGGAUGAAGAAUGCAUAGUGAAUGACUGGAUAAGCAAGUGGGUGACAGUGAGCUGGUUCAUGCAUGCAUGAAAUGGUUAAAAGGGUGUCAAAACUCAAAAUUGUCUUAGUGGUGUUUUGAUUGAGUUUAACGGCUUUUAUUGAAACAUUAAAUUUGUGCUGUAGAUGUAAUUAAGUUUUAUAUGAACCCUAUAUUCCUUGAGUCUAAUUUGUGCCCUAAAUUUUUUUAAUACUUUAGUUUGACUCACCGUUAUUUGCUUGAGAUAUUUAUUUUUAAUGAAUAACAAGUGUGUAGCAGAAAAUAGUUUAACUUUUUUUUAGGUCUUCCUUCUCAUGAUCACUUAAACUUAUCUAUCAUUUACUCCUAUUCCAACUGAGCUUCUUAGUUAUAGAUGACAAAUGUAUAGUUAGCUUUUAACUUGAGAAACUCUAUAAGUAGCCUUGAAAAAUAAGAGUGAUGUUUGAACUUGGAGUUUGUCUCUAUGUGUCACAAUGGAAAGUCAAAAUUAAAAAAUUUUCUGCUUUUGUAAACGUGCAUCUUAGAAUAUCCUAAAAUUAAAAGGCAUUGAAAUUGGGAUGUAGGGAGCAUGUUUUUAAUGAGUAACCUCUAAAACUUGGAUAUGCAUGGUUAGUUGCAGAAACUAGCAAUAAAAUUUUCUCAUAUGUUAAUGUCCAAAAUGUUUAAUGGUUUCUUCAAAUGCCUUUCAGUUGUAACCCAUGGUGGAUCUGAUGGAAUUUUGGGACACAGGAAUUGAUUAUUGGUUGUAUUAUGAUCUCUGUCGAUAUCCCCAUCAAUGCUAUGUGUACUUUAAUUUGCUUUCAGAGUUGGUUGUUUUCUGCUCAUAAUAUACCCUUCUUCCACAAAUUAUCUAUUUCAGUGUUCUUUUACAUAUAUGCAACAAAAUCAUGUACCUUCAUGCGUAUGGAACAAUUUUCUUUCAUUUAAAUUAUGUUUUCCUUGCUUAUUCUUCUUCCUCCAUAAAUCUCCAUUUUCUGAUGUGUGCGCGGUUUAUUUAUCUUUUUUUGUUUUUAGCAUCUUUAGAUUCCACAGCUCAAACAGGACAUGCAAAUGGGGGUGAUUGGCAAGAAGAGGUCUAUCAGAAGGUAAAAACUAUCUUGACUUAUUCUCCUAUAGAUAUUAUUACAGUUUCAACUUGGUUUUAAGGAGGUUUUAGGUGUAGGAAAGUGGUUCUGAAAAAGAAUAGAGUAUGUUGGGAUGCGUCUUAUAGCAGGAACUAUAAAAUUGAAGAAGUAGGAGCUUAAAACAUAUUUGGUAAAAGAAAUUUCUGAUAUUUUCUGAAUUACUUAUUACUUUGUUAAUAAGAACUUGAAUUCUUUUGGCUUGUUCUUAGAAGAAAUAAAAUAAAGCUUAUUUAAAUGCUUCAGCUCUCUACUAAAGAUCUAUUAAAAUUGGUGAGCAAGAAACCUAAGACCAAGGUUAUCUUGCAUGCUUGACUUCAAAGUAAUCAUCAUUUAUGGAUUCCUUUGUUUCUUCUGUUAUUAACUAAUAUCAGUGCCCGCUAUUCAGAAAGUGGAAAAAUCUUGUUACUUUUCUAAUAAAUCAUGGCACUUGGAUAAAUUGAGUGGUUUAAUUGUUGGUUAAGCAUUCUGUUCGUGAUUUUAUGUUGCAGAUCAAGACCAUGAAGGAGACAUACUUACCUGAAUUAAAUGAGAUGUACCAGAAAAUUGCUGCCAAGUUGCAGCAGGUAGGUUUAUUAUUUUACAUAAUCAUAUAUAUUCAUUCCCUAACCUCAAGGAGUGAUAGAACCCAUCUGCACCAUAGUCUGCCACCCUGUAUCUCUAAAUAGCAUUUAGAGAGGACUUUACUACUCCACAUUAGGAAACUUUUGAACCCAUACCACUUUUGGGUUGCUACUUGAAUCCCUUUACCGUAGACACUGUUUAGUGGUUGCACUUAUGCAUAUCUGGUGGAAUAGUGGUUUGUAGUUUUACUUUCAUCAGUUGAAAACAAUUUUAUGUGUGCUAUUUUCCAGCAUGAUUCUCUUCCACAGCAGCCAAAGUCAGAGCAGCUUGAAAAGUUGAAAAUGUUCAAGAGCAUGUUGGAGCACAUCAUAGCUUUCUUAUCAGUUACCAAAACCGGUAUCUUACCCACUUUCAAGGAUAAGUUGAGUUUGUAUGAGAAGCGGAUAAUAAAUUUUUUAAGUACCAAUAGGCCAAGGAAGGCAGUCCCAGCACUGCAGCAAGGGCAGCUUCCUCCACCUCAUAUGCAUUCCAUGCCACAGCCUCAACCUCAAAUUAAUCAGACACAGUCUCAUGAUAAUCAAAUGAACCCUCAGCUGCAGUCAAUGAAUUUACAAGGUUCUGUUCCAACAAUGCAGCCGAACAACAUGACAAGUUUGCAGCAUAAUUCUGUGUCUUCUUUACCUGGGGUUGCAACAGCGCAGCAGACCCUGUUAAAUUCAAUGCAGCCCGGUUCCAAUUUGGAUGCAGGACAAGGUAAUGCCCUAGGCUCAAUGCAGCAGGCUGCUGCAGGACCUCUACAACAGAAUCCUGUGAGUACCUCCCAACAGGCAAAUCUUAACAAUUUAUCUUCACAAAGUGGGUUAAGUGUCCUGCCACAAAACAUGAAUCCUCUUCAGUCAAAUCCCAACAUGCUUCAGCACCCACAUUUGAAACAACAGCAGGAACAGCAAAUGUUGCAGUCACAAAAGUACAAACAACAGUUUCAACAGCGCCAGAUGCAGCACCAAUAUAUGCAGCAGAAGCAGCAGCAGCUACUGCAACACCAACAGCAACAACAGCAGCAGCAGCAGCAGCAGCAGGUGCACCAGCAAGCAAAGCAACAGCUGUCCACUCAAUUGCAGACACACCAGAUGCCACAGCUACAUCAGAUGAAUGAUGUGAAUGAUAUGAGGCAGGGGAUGGGAGUUAAGCCAGGUGUAUUUCAGCAACAUCUCUCUGCAGGCCAGCGUCAAUCUUAUACCCAUCAACAGUUGAAACCAGGUGCUCAAUAUCCUAUUUCUUCACCUCAGCUCCUUCAGGCUGCAUCUCCUCAGAUGCCUCAGCAUUCAUCCCCACAGGUUGAUCAGCAAAGCCUGCUAACAUCUAUCUCAAAAACUGGAACCCCUUUGCAAUCUGCAAGCUCACCUUUUGUUGUUCCUUCACCUUCAACUCCCUUGGCUCCAUCACCUAUGCCUGGGGAAUCUGAAAAACCUGUUCCAGGCACUUCCUCUCUCUCAAAUGUUGCUAACAUUGGACAUCAACAAGGAACUGGUGUUCAAGCUGGCUCCCAAUCCCUUGCAAUUGGCACUCCUGGGAUAUCAGCCUCACCUUUGCUUGCAGAGUUUACUGGUGUUGAUGGAACUCAUGCCAAUGCUAUGACAACUGUUUCUAGCAAGUCAAACAUUACAGAGCAGCCUCUUGAACGUUUAAUGAAGGCGGUUAGUGAAGCUUAAUUCUUGACACUUCUUUCCCUCACUGUUGUGUUAAUGUUGUUCACUUUCUUGAGAAGGCUUUUGAAGUUCUCCCUCCUUUUCUUCUUUUAAAAAGAUUUUGGAUUUGUUUAAUUUUGAUGUGCUGUAAUUUCAGGUGAAAUCCAUGUCACCUAUAGCAUUGGGUGCAUCUGUAAGUGACAUUAGCUCAGUUGUCAGCAUGACUGACAGGAUAGCAGGGUCAGCGCCAGGUAAUGGGUCUAGAGCUGCAGUUGGUGAGGAUCUGGUUGCCAUGACAAAGUGCCGUUUGCAAGCAAGAAAUUUUAUGACUCAAGAUGGAAUGAGUGGGACAAGGAAAAUGAGGCGCUACACUAGUGCCAUGCCCCUAACUGUUGCAUCUUCUGCAGGCAGCAUAAAUGAUAGUUUCAAACAGUUAACUGGUUCAGAGACAUCUGACUUGGAGUCAACUGCAACAUCUAGUGUCAUGAGGCCAAGAAUUGAGGUAUUAUUCUUUGCUCAUGGUACAUUUUUCAAAAAUUUCGUCUGCUAUGUUUUCGAGUAAGCCUCUUCCAGCACUUGGUGUUCAUGGCUGAAUUACUAUGUACUGACUGUAUGCCAAUUUGAAUGUCCAUAUGUCCAUUUUAGAAUUUCUGUUUUGGAAUAUUUUCUUUUAAGCACCUAAACCUCUUACUUUGUCUAUAUUUUCUUAUUGUUAUAUUUAUUUUUUUACCUUUGACAUUAGAAUCCAUUAAACAUCAAUUUGAUAAAAUCUCGAAAUUUUAACUUCAAUAACCUUAAAGUCAAAGAAUUUAGUUAAAUUUGUGCAUUCAAAAGAAAAUGCUCAAUUUGGAAUGAAAGAGGUUGUUGAACUUUGUUGUUAGCGGCACGCAAUUCUUUUGCAAAAUUCUUGCAUCACAUACUUAAUGUAUUUACUUGACUGGAUCAUUUCACUGGUUAGCAAUUGUUUAAUGUGAGAUUAUAUUGUUUUCCUGAAACUUUUAUCCUUAGAGUGCUUAUGAGUUUCAUACUGGUUGACUAUUAUGUGCUUCAUUAAAUUUGUCAAGGUUUUAGACGACUUCUAUUUAAUAAGUUUAGUAUUGCUAAUCCUUCAUUACUCUUGGGACUCACAACUGUAUCAAACCUUUAGAGAUAAAAUCUUAACUUGAGGAAAACCACUAUUGACUCAUAUGUGAGAAUUGGGAAAUAGUGCAGUUGCAGAUCUUGAGGAGCGAAAUCAUUGAUUCCAUUCUUUAGGAAUGAGUUUGUUCAAGUUGAACAUAGUUGAAGUUUAAGAAGGAGAUUGCUCAUUGAAGCUAUAAGGAAAGAAUGUACGUAUCUAUACCAUAAUAAAAAGGACAAAUUCCAAAAAUGCAAAUAGUGAACAACAUAUAUACUCUUAACAAUUUAUUAAAUUAACUACUUCGUCCCUAAUGAUUUUCCUAGUAAAUUAAAAUAUUGAUUAAUUUUUAUUUGUUUCCUUAUUAACAUAUGAAAUCUUUAUUUAUUAAACUUUCUUAAUUUAUAAUUUAUAAUUAAAUUAAAAUAUUUACUAAUUAUUUAUUUGCAUAUUAAGUGUUAACAUUGAAUUAAAGUCAAUUUUCCUUAUUCUCGAUUGAUGGUUUUCUUAUUAAGUUAAAUAUUUACUAAUUUUUAUCUAUAAUAAGUGUGGUAGAUCAUUCAUUUAGGAUUCAAUGUCAAUACGUAAACCUCAAAAUUUCAUGUAAAGAUGAAAGAAUUGAAAAAUUAAAGAAACCCAGAUUUUAAAGCAGAUCCACCUGCAUCAAAGACAUAACUUGGUUGGUUGGAAUGCAUAUAAUCCAGAUAAGCAUCAACUAUCGAGCCUAGUGAAGAUGCUUCUGAAUUCUGUUAGUGAAGCCUGUAAUGAAACUGUUAGUUAUGGAUUCUAUCAAAUUGUGUCUAAUCCUGGAAAUUUAUCAGCUAAAUUCCUAGGUCCAUUUUGACCUUCUAGCUUUAUAUGACAUAUGAAGUGAUUGGAAAUUCAAUCUCUUAUUUUUGUCCAAAGUCCACUAAAUUUCUAGUUAUGUCGUGCAGUGCAUUGAAUGUAUGCAAUAUAUUUUUCUAUGACUGCCAUUCUACUUUCUGAUGGUCCAUCGCUUUCGGUCUAAGAGAAUCCUGGCAUUUUGGUUUUUCACAUUUCGAUUUCUGCUUAGCAGUAAAUAGAAGCCAUCUGAUGUGGACAUGAGAAAAUUUAUUUAUAAUUUGGUGUUGUCUGAGAUAGCAAUUUGGAGUUUGCUUUUUGUAAUUAGAUAUAUAAAAAUUACAUGGGACCUAUUGCAGGCUAAUCAUGCGCUUUUGGAAGAAAUAAGGGAAAUAAACCAACGACUUAUAGACACAGUGGUUGAUAUCAGUGAUGAAGAUGUUGAUCCAGGUGCGGUAGCAGCAACUACUGAAGGGGGUGAAGGAACCAUUGUCAAGUGCUCUUUCAAUGCUGUGGCUCUCAGUUCAAACUUGAAAUCACAGUACAUGUCAGCACAAAUGGUAAGCUUUCUGGUCAUGUAAAGGAAGUUAUGUAUUAACCUGAAGUAUUAUGAAUUUCUAUGCAUUAUCUCUGAUUUGUUGCUAUGCAGUCACCAAUUCAGCCCUUGCGCUUGCUAGUCCCCACAAAUUAUCCAAAUUGUUCCCCAAUCCUAUUAGACAAGUUUCCAGUUGAAGUCAGGUGAGAAGACAUUGCAUUUGAAUCUCAACCCUCUCCUUUCUCUCCUUCCUCUUCUUUAAAUAGGCUGGUAUUCUGUUUAGAAACUGUUUGAUCUCUUUUUGGAAAUUAUUGUGCAUCAUGUUUUUGUUGCAUUUUUGCCCAUCUUAAUUUAUUUUAUUUGAAUACAAUUUCCAAAAGUAAAGAGUGCAAAGCAAUAAUCUUUUAUGUUUGAAUGAAAGUUUACUGGCCUGAUGUUGAUUUGAGGAUGGAAAGAAGCUAGUGGAAGGAUUAAACAAUCUUAUGGGUCUAAUUGUAACUUUUAUAUAUAUUUAGGUUGUUUAUACUAUUAAUUAGUAUUUUACUUAUUUUUCCAAGUAGUAGGGUUUAAGGGUUAUAUUUGAUAUUUUGCAUUUCUACUAGGGUUUAAUUCUUGGACUAGCUUCUUUCCAUCCUCUUUCACUUAUUGUGGGAAAAGGUUCAGUUUCUUGUUGUCAUAACCUAAAUCUGUUCAUUGAUUUAAUUGGUGAGUGAGUCAAUUUGACCGGUUAAUUGGUGCAGUAACUUCAACUUCUAUGGAAAUUGUUAAUUUGAUAUAACAUCACCUUUAUUUUAGGUUUUUCAAUGUUCUAGGAGAAAAUUUGUUAGCAGUUUUAGCAUUUGGCUUUAGGGUUAUGUUUCUACGCAAGAUCAAGUUGGUUUGAGUCUAAAUGCCUUUAUUUGAUAUUUUCACUUGAAAAUAAUUUUUGGUCUCAUAUUCUGUCUCACAGUAAGGAGUACGAAGACCUUUCAGUGAAAGCAAAGUCAAGGUUUAGUAUAUCACUGCGGACCCUUUCACAGCCUAUGUCACUUCGUGAGAUAGCAAGGACUUGGGAUGUGUGUGCCCGCGCUGUUCUUGCUGAGCAUGCACAACAGAGUGGUGGAGGCAGCUUUAGUUCAAAAUAUGGAACUUGGGAGAACUGGUUGAGUGCUGCAUAGCCAUCUUUGCGGACUCAAAUCAAAAGCGUAAACUUGAGUCGUUUUGAUGAUUAAUGACGAGAAUUUGCCACAGCUUCUAUCUUGAGAACUGAAUAAGUAGUUUUCGGAUGCAUUGAUCGGCAAUCAAGUCCAUUCAAGGAAGCAGCCUCUGGUGAUGUUUGUCAACUUAAGAAACCUCCCGAGGUUGGUGCAUAACUUCUGUCAUUAGAUAAUUAUCCGUUGCUUGUAUGGGUCGAAACAUGAAGCAUUGUGAUCAACUUUGCCAUAUAUUCUGUUUAUAACCAUGCUGCGUUGUGUUUGUUCUCUUUGGUUAAUAAAUUAAACGAUGCAGAAUCCUUAACAAUAGUUUCAUUUUGCACAUUAUUACUCAGUGACUCCCCAAAUUACAACUCUUAAAAUGGGCCUUCCUCCCCUUUCUGCUGAUACUUCUGUAUAUAGUAACAGUCUUAGAUAGUUAGGGAGGGACAUUACCCUUAUUCACGUAGGGAAAAAGGUUUCUUUUAAUUAGUGGUUUGAUUACCAUUUUCAGUAGUAUCAUGUCAUCUAAUGUAUUAGUAUUCCAUAAUUUAAAACCAUAACUUUAAGCUAAAGCAAAUGAUGACUUAGUAUUGGAAAAUUAAGAUGAUUUUUAAAUUUUAAUGUAAUAAAAAAUAUACUUAUCAUUUCUUAAUUCUGCAUAUAAAAUUUAAAAACUUUGUCCAAUUGUGUUAAAAACAAAAUUUAAUACUUCUAUAUGUGUUCUUUCCCCUCAAAGUUUCAGCCAUUGAUAUAAUCACAUUCAAUUGGAUAACCACAAACAAAUCGAUGGUUUCCAAAUUACUACACAUCCGGACAGGCUGGCUAUUGGUUAUCACAUUUAAUCCAUAUAAAGGAUAUUUUUAAUUUUUUUAUUAAAUAAAUCAAUCCAUCCAUAUAAUUGCCUUUAGUUAAAACCAAAUAAGUAGAACAAAUAACCUAGUGACAUGGCAUUUCACUCCUCAAAACCAUCCUUGGCCAACCAUGGUAAACUUUGGUCAAGGCCGGCACAUAAGUUUAAAAAAAAAAACUCCCAUCCAAAUUUCACUCUCUAAGCUGAUCACCUGUCGUCCGAGUGGCCCAAUUGUUUUGCUGAUUUUUGGCCACGUGUCCAAUUUGCCUCCCAAGAUCCAUUAAAAACCGACUGUCAGGUAUCGUCGGAUUACAAAUAUAGCCGUUUUGCGAGAUGCCCAAUGUCCAAGAAAGUGACCCGGCCUCGACAACGACAACACAAACCACAAUUUUUUUUAUAAUUACUAAACUAUCCUCACUUCACUUUCUAUUUUUACUUUUGCCAUUUGUCUCAUAAAUAUUAUUUUAAUUUUAUUUUUUUAUAGACUUUUAUUUCAUUUCAUUUUAUAGGUGUGCAAAUGACUUAAGUUAAUUUAGCUCAAUAUUUUGAUUCAAUAACUUAUAUUUUAGAUGAAUCUCCAAUUGAAUUCUAAAAUAGACAUGAUGUGAUUUAUUAUGUUAAGAGGAUUAUCUCUUAUUAUUUAACUCAAUAUCACACCAAUAAAAAAAGAUAAACAAAACCAAAUUAUUUUAAUCUAACUCAAUUGAAAAUUACAAAAAAUUCAUGGAACCCAUAGCAUUUUAACUCAAUUGAAGAAAAAAAAUUUAAAACCUUCUGAGUUUGUGUUUGUCUUCCAUGUGACAAUUGUAGAAAGCAAAAAGGAAACAUACUUGGGAUUAGAAUAGAGCAUGCCAUUAGUACAUUGAAGAAAAAAGUAAUUUUUGUAUAUUGGAAAACAUAAAAUAGUGAUUUCGCAGCCAACUUUUUGUUCAAUUUAAAGAUAAACUACUUACCAUAUUGGUAGUUUUGGAAAUUGGAGACAAAAUUUUUGUUUCUUAUAUUCAUUUAAUUUGUUGUAAUUCUAGUUAAUUGGCAUUGUUAAAAAUAUAUAAAUAUAUUUUAGAAUUUGUUUUUGAUACAUUGACAAUGUAAUUUUUUAAUUUUACAAAUAAAAUUAAAAAGUUAUCGCACAUCGUAUUUUAUUAAUUAUUUUUUUUUAUUUUUAACGUACCCUAUCAUCUUACUAAUCCUUUAAUCCUAUCAAUGGAUUUAAAAACUCAAUAAUAUGAAUGAGAUAAAUUUUUUAUAUUUUAAUAAUUACCUAUGUUUAUCCAUUUUAAAAAUAUGAAAACUUAUUUUUUUGCCAUAAAAAUGAAAACUUUUUAAUUUCACUUGAUAAUAUUUUAAAUUUUUUGUGCAUUAAAAAUCAAAUUAAAAUUUUUGAGAAAAAAGUAAAAAUCAUCCUUGAGGGUAAUUUGGUCCUUGAAGAAAAGCAAAGAGGGACAGAAAGUUGAAGUGGAUUCUGACAGUCAACCAAAACGAAGAAUUUCAGAUACACUAAUCUGUAUACGUGGCAGUCUUUCAUCGGCUCUCAACAAAUGGCGCCAACAAAGUUGCCUCUCCGAAUUUCACCAAAAUUAUCAAACGUCUCCUAACUUAUAGCGCGUGCCUCACACCAUCCAACUUUUGAAAAUGAAAUUGGACAACAAUUAACAAGUGUGUAUAUCAUAAUAAAAUUUAUAAUUGUAGUAUACGUAUAAAACCUAAAUUUGAAAAUAAUUUAUCAAUUAUUAAUUACAAUAUUAAUGAAUUUGUAGAUUUAUUUAUGUCAUUUUUAAUUAUAAGUGUAUAUAUCACUCUAUCAGGACUUGAAAAUUGUUUUAUCAAUCCCUUUUUUUAAUUAUUGUACGGAGAGAUUAUAUUGAUAUGUUUUUUAUUUAAAUAAUUAAAUUAUAUUAUGUAAUUAUAUUUUAAAAAAUUAAUUAUGCAUUACAAAUCAUUUUAAUUAUUUUAAUAAAUUUGUAUAUUUGGUUUAUAACAAAUAAUUAAUUUUUUUAAAAUAAUAUAAUUAAAUAAUAUGAUUUAAAAUAAAUAUAUAUAUUGCCGUGAAAGAAUUAUUUUAUAUAAUUUUUUCUUAAUAUAUAAAAUAUUGAAAUUCCACUUUUUAUGAAGAUUUACAAACUUCAAUAAUAAUAUUAUCUUGAAAUUAAACAAUAUUCAAAAAAUAUGUUGAUAAUAUAUUUUUUAAUUUAUUUAAGAAUUCUUUCAAUUAAAGAAUAUAUUAGCUAAUUUUUUUAAUGAUUAUCAUGUUCAUAUAUUAGUGAAAUAAUAUGAAAAUUUAUCUCAUAAAAUUUUAAGAGAACUUAUCUACAACUUAAAUUAAAUUAAAAAUAUUGAUUAAGAAUGAAUUUUUUUAGAAAGAAUAAAUAUAUUUUUUUACUAAAAAUUUGAAUUUUUAUCAAUAAUAAAUAUUGAAGAGGUGGGAAUUAAUUCAUUAGCUCAAGGCCUUUACUAGGCGGCGGUGUUUGACACUCUCCCAAAAAGAACGUGAACGCAGAAAACUUCACUUACCCCAUAGAGCAUUCCAUCAGGAUCCCCGAAGCGAAACCCUAACCCACGUCGCGUCGUCCCUUUCCCAACGGCCACUCCAAAUACUAACGAUACAAAUCCACCCCCAAACUCCGUCAUUAAUUACGAUCCGCCCACCCCUCCGCUAUAUAUACUUCUUCUCGCUUCCCUAUGGGUCUGCCAAACUUAGUCCAGAAAACACCCUUUAUCUAGAAAAAAAAAAAAAAAGAGAAAAUUAGUGGAAAUGUCUUUACAAUCAUCCAUCAGCAAAUCUGACGGUUCACGGAUCUCCACCCAUCAUCAAUCAUCACCAUCGAAUUGUGCCCACCCGUCUUCAUCAUCAUCUUCUUCCGCAUUCGCUUCGUCAAGCUCAAGCUUCACUUCAAGAUCCUCCACCUUCUUUGCUCGUGCGACUUCCCCCACUCGCGUGAACCUUUACGGACGAAACUCUUCUUCACAUUCAUUGCCGUCCGUUCGGUUCUCCAUCAACGAUCCCUUGGUCUCUCCCAAUCGUUCGAUCUCCUACAACAGCAAGAACAAUGCGGUGCCGUCUGGCGCCCACCACCAAAGGAAUAGGACGUGUUUGUGUUCCCCUACGACGCACCCAGGGUCUUUCCGGUGUGCUCUCCAUAAAGGACUGUCACUGUCGAGGAAUCAUCAGAAUAAUCGUCAACCAACUACGGCGUCAUUCCACUCCGGUAGUCCGUUGAAUUUGAGGAGAUCGGCGAUGAAGAAUUCGUUGGUGAGAAUCGGAGUGGAAGGAGAGCUGGUUAAGAGAGCGUUAACGGCUCUUAUUAGGCCUUCUUCGCAUCAGCAACGCCGCCGAGCCGCUAUUGAGCAGAGACCCAGUCGUCUUUCGAUUAUGUCUAAAGCCGAUUCUUGAACUGUUGGGGUUUUCUUUUUUAUUGAUGUUUGAUCGGAUCAGACGAGCCGGCUCAGUGAGUCGGUGCACAAGACUCAGGAUGACUCGGAUUUUGUUGUGGUUUUUAUCACUGUUUUUGCUAGGAGAUUUGAGGGAGGCAGACUUUUGUAAAUAUUUUGUUUGAGGAAAUUGAAUAUAUUUGAAUUUUUUUUUUCUUUAGAAUUUGUAAGACGAUGAAUUUAGUUACUAAUUUUUUUAGUUUUUUUUAUUAAUUCUUUUUGGGAACGGAUGAUUUGUAUAUAGAUUUUUGCCCCAAAAUUCAUUUUCUUGUAAUUUUCACAUUCUAAUAUGAGAUUGAAUUUUGUUGGUGAAUUGUGGAUUUGUGAAAUGGUUAUGGCAUGUUUGGAAUGAUGAAUUUGAAAGAAUGGAUUUUUAUUUGAUUUGCUUAUAUAAAUUGGGAGAGUAAAAUGAAUAUUUCAAUCAAAUUCAAAAAUAUCAAAAUAACCAGAUCUAUUUCCAUGUCUUUUAUUUAUAUUUCAAACGAAUUUCAAAACGCAACUUAAUUGAAUUUGGUAAAUUUGUUUUUUGCUAGAAUUUCAUCAAUUAAAAUUAUUGAAUAAUUGAUUUAGGUGAUAAAAUAAAUAAAUUAUUUUUUAUUGUUUCGAUUAAAAUUUUUUUAAAAUUUAUGCAAAAUAAUUUUUAUAAAUAUUAUGUGAAAUAUUUUUUUAUAAAUUUAUUAAAUUUUGAUUUGAAGUUGAUGAAAAAUUAUAUAAAAUAAUUUUAUAUAAAUUUAUUAAAUUUAAUAUGGAUAAAAGUGUUUAAAUCAAUCUUAAAAGAGGAAUUCGGUAAAGAUAAAAAAUCCAUUAUUGCUUUAAAAAAACUAACAUUAAACAAAUAUUUUAUUCUCUAAAGACAUUAAACAAAUUUUUAUUUAACAAAGAGUUAUUCAAAUUUAAUUUAUGAAUUUUGAAUAUGAGUUAUUUACACAUAUUAUUGAAUUGAAUACUCUAAUAUGCUUUUAUUAUGGAAUCAUUGAUAUUAUUGAAUAAAAAGUUCAUAUAUACAAUUAUUAUUAAGUAGAAUAUUUAUAUACUUAUUAUUAAGUCGGAUUCUAGAAUUUAACUUAUUAAAUUUUGUAUUUAAUAAUUAAAUAAUUAAAUUAUUGUUAUAAAAAGUUUUUGUAUUCAAUAAUUAUUUUUAUUAAAUUAAAAAAAUAAUACAUUAAUUACAAUUGUUUUUUCAAAAUAUAAUCUUAGAUCGUAUCACUAACACUAUUUAAAAUUUUUUUUAUUUAGUUCACGGAACACAAACCAUGUCUGAAGGGAGGAGACAGGACAUCAUGACACGUUGAACAUAUUAUAUUUUUGGGUAACUGAGCUUUAAAAUUCUACCAUUUCUACUGUUAAUUUUUUGGGUAACAGAUUAAUAAUUAUUUAAUUAUUAUUUUAAAAAAAUUAAGAUUAUAUUAAAAUAUUGUUUUCAUUCAAUUUUACUGUUAAUUUGUGGGUAACUGAUUAAGUAUUAUUUAAUUAUUAUUUUAGAAAAAUUUUAAAAUUAUUGUAAAUAAUAUUAUUUUCAUUCAAUGCAUUAAAAAUUAAAAACAACACUAAAAGAGUGUUUUCAUUUGACAAAAGUGAAAAUUGUAUUAAAAAUAUUUUAAAAUAAUAAGAUCAGCAUUCAAUUUUAAAUGGAGUAUGAGGGAUUUCAAAAGAAUAAGAUUAUGGCUCAACAAUUUUAUUCACACCUGGCAAAAACCUUAUUGAACAAAAUUCAAAGGUGAAAAUUUUCAAUUCACAAGUCUAUAUCAACCAUCAUAAAUGUUUGUAUAUUAUUAAAUUGAUAGGGUUUUACCAUGUUAAGACAGAUAAAUAAUUUAAAUAAAUUUGUUGGGAGGAAUUUUAUUUUUUAUUUCGAAAUUAGAUGCUAAAACUUAUAUAAAAAGAAAUAAAUUAUGUGUUUAAAAUUAUUAAUUUGACUUAAAUUCCCAUAUCAAGUCAAUUGUUUUAAAUAUUUAAUUUAUAUAUUAUCUUGAGACAAAUGAAAUUCACCUUUUAGGAUGAAUUUACAUGGAAAAUAUUGAAACUAUUAUUUGAUCGAAACAAGUGAUGUGCUCUUUAAGUAGGUUUUGCUUUUGUAAAAAUUAUAGUACGACCUAAAAAAAAUUAUAUUUUUAAUUAAAAUUUCACAAUUAUUUUUUGCGAUAUUAUGUGGAAUUAACAUUUCUAAAACUAAGAUUUGAAAAUUUUCAACUUAAGACUUUUUCAAAUAGUAUUUUUUAAAAUUUAAUUACACAUCAUAUUACUAUAAUAAAUAGCAAUCAAAGUUGGUUUUGUUAGACAAAAAAAUUGACAGUUAUUAUUAACUUUGAAAAGCGAGAAGCAUUAGUUUUAAUUCAAACAUUAAUUGGACAAUGUAUAUCCAAUUAUUGAUAUAUGUACGUGUCCAUGCUUGUUUAUUUCAAAAUAAUAAUAAUAAUAAUAAUAAUUUAGGUUGGGUUCGUUGGUCCUCUCCUAACUCUAAAUUCUACGAAAAAUAUGUUUUAAAAAAUUUAUUUUAUAAAAUAAUAAAUUAAAUUUAUGUUAUUCAAAAGAGUGUCUUAUAACAUAAAUAUAAGAAUGUCAAUAAAUAAGAUGCGUGAAUGAUAAAGUAUUUUUUAUUUUCAUCUUGAAUUUUUAUAUUAUACUUAUCUUUAUACUUAUAUUUAAUGAUAUUUCAAAUCUAUUAUCUUCAUUUUCAUGAGUAUUUAAUGGAUAUAAAUAAUUUUCAUAUAUGUAGCUUUAAAAAAAUAAAAAUAAAAAAAUUAAUUUUUUUAAUUUUUAUCUUGUGUAAUUAAAUAAUUUUUUAUAAAUAUAUAUUAAUAUAUAUUUUCAAUAAAAAUAUAUUAAUUUUAAUUAAUUUAAAAUAAUUAUUAUUAUUAUUUAAUAAAAUUUAUAUUUACUGAAUAUAUAUAAAUAUAUAUAAGGUAUCGAUAUAGGACAAGGGUCAACAAUUUAAUCCAUCUUCGACGGGUUUCGACUCGACCCGACUUAACCCUACAAGGUCGAUUUUUUUUUUUCAAAAUUCAAGUUUUGAGUCGGGUCGAAUUGGAUAAGAUUAUGAAACAAUCGGGGUCGGAUUCGAGUUUUAGGCAAACCCAAUCCGAUCCGAUAUUAUAUAAAAAAUUAUUUUUUAAUUAAUUUUUUAAUUUUUAAUUUAUAUAUAUAUUUAUAUAAUGAUAUUUUUAAAUAUUUAUAUUUAAAAAUAAUAUUUUAUAUUUAAAAAAAAAAUAUUUUAUUAAUUUCGAAUCGGAUCGGAUUCGGGUAUAGAAAACCAAAAAAAUUUGGGUAUGAUCAAGUUCGGGUUUGAUAAUACAUAAAGUUGGGUUGGAUUUAGGGUGAACAAAACUUACCCGAACUCGAUCCGAUGUCAACUCUAUAUGAGACAUAUAUAUAUUAUCUAUUUUUAUCUCCUUAAAUAGUAAAAAUUUAAAAUUAUAUUUAUUCUCAUAUUUAUAUUGUAAUAUCUAUCUCCAUUAAAAUAAAAAAUUAAAAUUUUCAUUAGAUAUUGAUAAUAUUGACAUCCCUACAUAAAUAUGUAUUCGACAUAAGUAGUAUCAAUUUUUUUUAAUAUUUUAUAUAUUUGAAAAAUCAAACUUUCAUAUUUAUAUCGAUUGAGAUUUAUAUGAUACGAGAAAAGAAAAUGAACAAUAUAACUUGCUUAAAACUAAACUACUUUGACAAGUUAUCCAAAGCCUGUAGAGGGAGAGAGUCAUCCGAUAAAAUCAGGUAAGAAGAACGAGUAAGAACGAGGGUCAGAGGUAGCAAAAGAAAUUAUGUAAGGUUAUUUAAUAUGUCGAUCGGUUGUUGAAGUUAUAAUACUGCAAACUGCAAAGCCUUUUUCAUCGGGGAAGGUGGUUGGAUGAGCAGUAGGCAGGGUGGCAGACACCAUUAUUAAUUUAAUUAAAAAAAAGGUCCACAAUAUUGCAGAAAAUAUGCAGCCAACACCAUAUCAUUAUGCUCAGAUUUUGACGUAGAAGAAAAAAUUAAGCACUAGUUUUUUAUUUUCUUUUUUAAUAAUUAGGUAGAAGAAAUAUUCUUUAUUUUUUAUUUUACUUUUUUCUUACCAAAUGUUAUCUUUAUUUUCUCGCUAUUUUUUUUUCACUCUUCUCUGUCUAUCUUUUCACCUUUUUAAUUACCCUACCAAGCACACUCUUGGUUCUUACUUUCAUGGAAAUUAUUAGAAAAUUCUGAGAUGACUUAGGUUAAUUCCAAUCACAAAAAUUUUAAUUUAUAAUGUAUGAUUAAAAAUUACUGGAAAUAACUUGUUGGAUUUAUAAAUUUGAUAUUUUACUAGAUAAAACCAUAAUAAAAAUAUAUUUACAACUCUAUUAAAUUUAUAAUUGGUAAAAAAUUCAUAAAGUGGAUUACCAUUUCCUUAACCCUAAAUUUGCUUACUAAAGUGGAAUUUUAUUCCAAAUAGUAAUAAAAUCAUUAAAAGACACUUCCUUAAUAAUUUGACUAUUUUUAGGCAUAUAUAUAUGUGAUGCUCAAAGAUUUGAAUUAAAAUUCGCCUAUUUAAAUAAAGAUUAUAAAAACCUAAUCGAAUAUAUUGAGAAUAAUCGUGGGCCUUUGGAAGAAGAUACUAUUUAUAAGGCGCCCCUUAUUACAUUCAAUAACUGUCGUCUUUUUCUUUCCUUUGUCUUUGGUUGGUAUAAAAAACCAAUGAGUUCAGUCCUUAAGGUAGGCAAAUUUGAUCGAAGGUUUUUUUUUUUCCCCAUAAAUUUAUCUCUUUUUUUUUUUUUUGACAUUUCAUUAAAUCCCCUAUAUGAUUUUACUCUUUUUUUUUUUUUUUGCAAUUGAAAGGAAGGUAGAUCCCAACAAAAUCAAAGUUGCAAUUCAAUUUCUUCAACAUUGGCUUGUCAUAGUACCCAUUUGUCAUGUAUGUGUUUAAAGUGGCCAAUAUGUGUCAAUUUCAUGUUCACAAAUUCAUAGAAAUAUUUCAGAAUCUUUACCCAAUCUUCUUCACUUAUCCAGUUUAGCAACCCUCUCAACCCUUAAUCUAACCAGCUUUCUGACUUUCUAGGAAGUUUAGCAUCAGGUUUAGUUUUUUUUUCCUUAUGGAUCACAGCAUGGAAGGGCUAUCUAUAGUAACCAAUAGACUCAUCUUGUCUUCCCUUAUCCAUGGUUCAUAGCAAAAAUCUUCUCGAGCCACAAAUCCAAAGUGGGUAAUCCUGUCUCUAUCAACCUUGUCAAUAAUAUGCAGUCCAAACCAGACCAGGGGACAAGGAUGUCCAAUUACACAAAUAACACUUGCUCGAUAGAACUCAACAUCUUAAGAAAAAGAAAAACCUAGGGGAUCGAGAGCUGACGCUAAGGAAAAUAAAAGGAAAAACAAGAAAAACAUCAGAGUAAACCUCAAAUGUUUUUCCUGUUUAGAGAGAAAAGCUCCCAUUUUAGGGAGAGAAUUAUUGGGAUUAGCGUGUGUUUUAUCUGUUUAGUUGGAUUUAGGGUUUACAGAGAAAAGCUAUCAGAUAGGCAUGAAAAUCAUUGAGAUUGUUACCCUCAAACAUUUUCAUGGGCCCAAUGAGAUAUCUAAUCACUAUAACAAAACAAAAACAAAACCAAAAUGGAAAUCCAUAGUACCACUCAUUUUGUAAAGUUUCAAUCUCUGUUAACUCGCACCAAGUGUCCUACUUCCUUUGGACCAUCUCCGCAUUCAUUGUAUUUAUCCUUAUAUAUAUAUAUAUAUAUAUAUAUAAAGUUAUAUAUCUGCGAUUAAUAUAUUUGUAAGACAUGAUUAUUAAUCAUGCCAUUUAUGUUUUGCCGUGUUUGGAUCUUUUAAUUGACAUAUCAACUUCUUUUUUUUUUUUCAUGUAAUCAAAGUUUAUUUAAUAACAUUUAAUCUAAUAUUAAUUUGUACUUUGACUAUUCAUGAAUUUAUGAUAUUUAUAAACUUAAUUAAUUUUAGAUAAUUGUAUUUUGUAUUUCAUGUCAUUUAAAAUUUUAAAAAUAGAUUUAUAUUUAUUAUUAAUUAAUUAUGAAUCAAAUCCAAAAUAAAUGUAUCUGAAUAAAUUUAAUCAUUCAUAAAUCUAUGAUAUUUAUAAAUUUAAUUAAUUAUAGACAGAUGUAAUUAGUAUUUAACGUGAUUUAAGUUUAACAUAUCAAUUAAAUAGUAUGAAUACACAUGAAUCAAAUCUGAUAACUCACCUGACUCAACAAUACAAGUUACAAUAUCUUUAGAUCUAAAGAAUCUCAAACAAAAAAAGAAAAAAAGAGAAUGAGGUAAAUUAUAAGUCAAUAAUAGACAAUUUUUCCUUAAUAUAAUACUUAUUUGAACAUCAUUUCUUAUAUUAUCAAUUUAGAAAUCAUGAUUUAAUAUUCUAUUUUAACCUGUAUUCUUACAUUUUAAUGUUAAAAUAAUUGGAAAAAAUGUAGACAUUAUAUAUUUGAGAGGGAUAUAUAAAAUUUAAAUACCGAUAAUCUCUAAAAUUAAAAGUGCAAAAAUUUUCCAUUAUUGAUACAUACAUUCAUCUCAAAUAUUAUAUGUAUUAUAUUAAUAAAAAAAAUUCUCUCAAGGAAAGUUUUUUAAAUUCAACAUAUACAAAACGAAUGCUGGCAUGCAUUUUUUUUUUUAAGUUAUAUUCAAACAAGAAAAUAAUAUAUGACAAUUUUUUAAUAAAAAAUUUUAAUUACAUUUAUAUAAUUAAAAAAUUUUAUUUUGUUUGAUCUUUUUUCAGUACUUUUUUUUUUAUCAAUUUAAACAAAUUUAUUUAUGUGAGGCAUACCCAAUUCAUAAGCCUGUGUACAUGCAUAUUCAUGAAUAUGAAAUGGUUUUUAAAGAGAAAUACUAUUAAAAAACUAUUAGUACUAAUAAAAUUCUACACGAUGUGAAACUGUAAUAUUUUAACAGCUCCACCUGAAGAUAGGUUGACUGUCCCAAUUACCUCGAAACCCAAGAAAAAGCGGCACCGCCAGAAGGUAGCAAUCGCAAUAGCAAAUGCCAAAACUGAAACUGAAAGCAGGGAGCAGGCCACCGUGGGUAGGCUUGGCAGCAGCAGUAUGGGUUGAGAUAUCAGCAGGGAACGCCUACAAUUUCCCACUCUAUUCUUCUACUCUCAAAUCAGUCUUGGGAUUCAACCAGCAACAAAUCACAAUCUUGGGAGUGGCAAAUGAUAUUGGAGAGAGUGUUGGAAUACUCCCUGGUAUUGCCUGUAACAAGUUUCCUCCUUGGGCUGUGCUUCUUGUUGGGGUCUUUGCCUGUUUCUUGGGAUAUGGUGUUAUCUGGCUUGCUGUUAGCCAAACCAUCAAUGGUCUGCCUUACUGGGUGGUUAGUCAUCACAUUCACAUCACAAGUUUGAUAAUUUCAACUAUAUGGAUUUAAAUUUGUAUGUAUUUUUUAAAUUGAUUGCAUGGAACUAAUUGUUGGUUGGUAAGGUGAUGAAGGAUUAAAACUGUUUUGUCUACCCAGUUGUUAAUUUUUUUUAUAAUUUUGGACUUUUCACUUGAUGGGUAUCACCUGCUUUGGAAUUUUGGUGAUUGUUCCCCUAAUUUCUCCUGAACUAGAUUGUGGAGUUGGUUGGCUGGAACUCUUAUUAGUGGUUUGGUUUUUUAUAUGCCUUUUUUUUUAAUACCAUUAUUACUGAAAUUUGUCCUAUAUCUGUUGGCAAUUAGAGUCAUCUAGUAGACAGCAACUAGUUGAGUCUAUCUUUAUGCAAAUUGGGAUUAUUGUACAUCAUUAUGUUAAUUAAUCUGAAUUGGAUUUGUUUUGCAAAUUGCUUUUUCGUUGUUUUCUCCAUAAGGUCUUCAUGAGGAUUGUUUGAUCAUAGUGAUUCCAUUAAUUUUUAUGAGUCUCUUGACAAGAUUAUCAACAACCAGAAUCAAGUAACUCGUAUUGUUCUAAUGUUACAGCUUUAGAGAGUGCUAGUGAUGUGAUUAUUGUAUUGUUUUAAGUCACAUAAUGUUGGUGUUACAAUUCUCUCAUCUCGGUUGUUAGUCUCACCCCUUUCCUUUUACCUUUUCAUUUUUGUGCUUUCUUCGGUGGAAAAUUUUUCCAGAUUUUCUACAGGAAACUCUUUUCAUUUCAUACCACGAGAGCAUGUUGGGUCUCCCUUACCAUCCAAAAAAUAGAUAGUAUGGGUGGAUGUAGAAGAGAAGUAUUGCAAGAAGUUUACCUCGUUUAAGUUUUGACUUUAGAUUCAUGCCAAUCUGGCACUCCUCUUUCCUUGUUAUGUUGGUAUUAGACUGUCAGUUGAUCAGUUUCAUUUUUGUUUGCUACGAGAGAAGUUUACUGAUGUUCGUAGGUCUUAACUGAAACAUUUCCAAACCUGUAAUUAGUAAAUUUUUUUCACUGGCUAUCUCUCCAUUCUCUUCAUACUUUGAUGCAGCAAAGAGUUAAAGUGCCCUGUUGUUGUUAGUGGGGAAGCGUCUCCUAGGUCAUUUUGCCAAAUGAGAUUUAGGUUCCUUACUUUUUCCCAGUUUUUUUUGCAAUGUGAAGAGAUGUGAGGUUAUUGAUGGAAACUCCUAAGAAAAUAUCAAUGACUACAAAUUGCUAAUGAAGGAAAUUAAGUAACAUCAGAAUUUUUUUGCCUGCGACCUUUGUUUUCAUGAGCUUCUCCCACUAGAUAGUUUUGAAAAAUAAGGCUGAAUAGUUAUUCAUUUGUCUCUUUCUUUUUCUAUUUUCUAUUUCUACUUUUAUAUUUUAUUUACUUACUACACCCAUGUUCCAUGCUAUGGCAGUUAUGGAUUGCGCUUGUGGUUGCUUCUAAUAGUAAUGCUUGGUUUGGCACAGCAGUGCUAGUAACUAACAUGAGGAAUUUCCCUCUCAGUAGGGGUACCGUUGCUGGCAUCCUCAAAGGUUAUAUUGGCAUCAGUGCUGCUGUAUAUACCGUAUUAUACAGCUCACUGCUUGAACAGUCUGCUUCAAAACUACUGCUGUUCCUUACUCUUGGCAUUCCAGUGAUAUGUUUGGCCCUGAUGUACUUUAUUCGCCCUUGCACCCCUGGAGACGACACUUCAGGUCAUGUCCAUUUUGUUUUCACCCAAGCUGCUAGCGUCUUGCUUGCUAUCUAUCUUCUCACACUAACAAUAAUAUAUGACACGGUCUCUCUAAGUGAUGCUGUUUCGUAUGUACUACUUGCCAUUGUAUUUAUCUUCUUGCUUUCUCCUCUUGGAAUUCCAAUCAAGAUGACACUUUCUCGAGCAAAUGCAGAGACACUUACACCACUGGCAGGUUCAACAGAGCAUUUGGCUCAGGGAGAAGGUGAUUCAAGUCAAGCAGAUCCUUUGUUGUCACCAUCUUCAUCAGCAUCAAAUCUUGGAAGUUUCUAUGAAAGUGAAUAUGCCUCAGAUAUGGAAACUCUUCUAGCUGUUGGAGAGGGGGCAGUGAAGAAGAAAAGAAGACCCAGGAGGGGGGAGGAGUUCAAGUUUCGUGAAGCUUUUAUCAAGGCUGAUUUCUGGCUUCUUUGGGUUGUAUAUUUUCUUGGAGUUGGUUCUGGUGUUACCGUUCUCAAUAACUUGGCUCAAAUUGGAGUUGCUUUUGGUUUAGAUGAUACAACAAUAUUGCUCUCUCUUUUUAGCUUCUGCAAUUUUGCUGGUCGUCUUGGCUCGGGUGCUCUUUCAGAACACUUUGUCAGGUUAGAUCUCACUAUAAAAUUGCUGUCCAGCCUGUCUCCCAUAACGUUUAGAUGUAAAUAUUCUGUGUCUGUUUUUAUGAGGCAUUAUUGUAAGCGUGAGUUUCUGGUCUUGCAGGACAAGAACCAUUCCUCGAACAUUGUGGAUGACCUGCACUCUAAUAGUUAUGGUCUUAGCAUUUGUUCUGUAUGCAUUAGCUCUCAGCGGUACUCUCUAUGUUUCAACUGCUCUGCUUGGUGUCUGCUACGGCUUUCAAUAUUCUCUCAUGGUUCCAACUGCAUCUGAACUUUUCGGCUUGAAACAUUUUGGUAUCAUUUAUAACUUCAUGCUGAUGGGCAAUCCUGUAGGUGCACUUCUUUUCUCAGGUCUGCUUGCUGGUUAUGUUUAUGAUGCUGAAGCCGCAAAGCAAGGAAGUUCCACUUGCUUGGGCCCUGAUUGCUUCAGGCUCACCUUCUUGGUUUUAGCCGGCAUCUGUGGUCUAGGCAGCAUCUUGAGCAUAUUUUUAACAAUUAGAAUACGACCAGUUUAUCAGAUGCUAUAUUCUUCUGGUUCAUUUCGUCUUCCUCAAGCUUCAAACCACUGAAAAUUGGAAAUGAUUAUUCCCAGAAUAAAAGUGAUGGCAUGCCUGUUUUAUAUUGGUUUGCUCCAUGAUUUUGCAUUCCUGGCAAUUCCCUGCAUUAGCUAGGUGUUAUCAUAUCUUCAGCAAAUUUUGCUGCACUAUUGAGUCUAUCCCAAGUAGAGUUGUUUGUUGAGCUUAGUGCUCAUAUGUUUGGUAUGACUCUAUCAGUUCAAUCCCUUCCACUGAUCAUAUUCAGAGGGAUUCACAUACUAAAAUCAUUGUAUUAUCCUCCAGGAAUGUUAGUUCCCAUAUAUCAUUGCAUUAUUAUAAAUUAAUUAAAGAUAUAUAUAUAUAUAUAUAUAUAUUCCUAUUGAACAGAAUGAUUUUUUUUGGCCAAUAACAGAAUGAAAUUGAUACAAAUUAAAAGGAAAUAAGAGAAGAAAAGAAAACAAACACAUUUCCUUCUACAUUUUUAGGAUUCAAAUACAAUUUUGGGUGAUCUGAAAGUGGGAUAUCUCUACUUUCACCCCCAGUAAACAAUCAUUUUAAAUGUAUAAUACAAUGCUUACUUCUUACUGCAUAUUUCCAGACCUAACAAAUGGCUCAUUUUCAGUCUUUACCAAAGAGACUGAUUGCCAGUGCUUUUCAUUUCUAUUAAAGAUAAAAAGUAUAAAAAGCAGGGGAGACAAUUUCAUGACUGAAACAGGCUCCUUGGUGCCAAAGUCUGGCCUUCACAUGACCCACCUCUAAAGAAAAAAAGAUACUAGAAUUACCAAUUUCCUAAACACACGGAAGAAAAUAUCUGGUGGAAGAAACUUAAAAAAAAAAAGAGAUUAGGAGAAAUGUUUCAUUAACGAAAAAUAGAUUUAAAAAACAAAAGCAAAUGAAAACAACCUUCAAGUUGGUUUUAAAUCUUGAAACAUUGUAUCCCACCUGAUCUCUUCAAGAGCUGUUGACCAGUAUCCAUCUUCAUCCCCAUCCAUUUUCUCCCUUCUGGUUGUCAAAAACCGUAGGACUUGAAAAGCUCGCAACUCUAGCAGGCCCUGAAACCACUAGAGGAGUCCCAUUUGUGAGCAGCAGCCUCCCUUGUGUACCCGUCAUCACCUUCUUGUUUCUCUUCAACAUUGCACCUUUCCAUUUACUACCAUAUCCUGGCCUACUCCUCGGAUUGACAACAACAAGAGCUGACUGUUCGCGAUGAACCCAUGUCCCGAUGAGCUUGGCUAAGCUCCUUUUUGUUCUCUUGAUUGCCAACAGAAGCCUUGACACUGGUCUUGGAGUCACUCCUCUCUCCUUCCUAGCAAGCUUGAGAAUUUCCAGCCUGUGUUUAGCUAUUGAUAUGCCCAUGCUUUGGAGAAACUCAUGGUUGAAGUCAGCUAUAUCUUCUUCUUCAAGCUCAUUAUGGGAAAAAGCAAGGCCAUACUCAUAAACAAGUGUUGGCUCAAGGCCAGUUUUUGAGAGCCAAGAAAACCAAUCCAUGGCCUUUGAUAUGAGUGAGAUAUGAAUGUCAGUGCCCUGAGAUUCAAGGGUAUAUAAAUAAAGGAGAGUCUAGAAACGGUAAAAAGAAAGGGAAGGGGCGGUGAAGUUGCUGAUAGAGGAGACUUGAGACUUUUUUGUGGGGUUUGGGGUUUUUUUUUUUUUUUUUUUUGCUUUUGUAAUUGAAUUGUUGUUGUUAGUUGAAUCUUGAGACGGACUAAAAAAAAAAAGGGUGGAUGUGGGGUUCAGAAGGCCAUUUUCUUUCAAAAAAUAAGCAAGAAUAGGCCAAAGUGUGAUCAAACUCUUGUCAAGGAAAGUGACCAAAGGACACCUUGUCAAAAACUCCAAAAAUGCAUUGCCAUCAAUCACGGUAUGGGAAAAGAGUAGUUUGUGGGGACAGUCAGUUCCUAGUUCUUUGUAUGUAGUUGGAGGAUCUGGGCUUGAUUAAAAUUCCAUACUUUGAGAUUGAGACCCCUUUGCAAAAAAUAAAGGACUAGACGUUGGUUAGACCGAAAGCAACCCUAUUCUAUUCGGUGUUACCUACUGAUUUCUUCAAAACUUUCCCUUAUCUACUGUAUAAUUUUCUCAGAUUUUGGUUACCUGAACCUUUGCAGUUGUGGUGAUUGGACUCAAGGGUUGACUUUGAGUUCUAGUUGGUGCAACCAUGGGAUUAGAUUUAGCUCUUGUUUGUAAGGAAGGAAGCUACCAAAAAUAUGGCUAGUACUGCAUUAUAAUGUAGGAAAGGCUCUUCAUAUCUGAUUGAGAGAAUCUAACUUUACCUUUCUUUUUUCAUAAAAAAGUUCAUAAUUUGAAAAUAAAAAAGUGAUUAUAAGUACUAAAAUUUUAAUUUUAAAUUUAUUGUAUAUUAUUUUAAAAAUUUUAGGUAAAUCUAACUUUACUUUGGCACUAAAGAAAACUGGGAUAUAUAAUAGGAGAUAGUUUGACUUGAUAUUUAGUUACCUGUAUUACGUGUUGUCAGCCAUCACUAAGUAUUAAUAAGUAAUUAACAGUUUAUAAUAUCUGAUUAUUUUAAACUGUUGACAUGUUGGUCCUAGAAAAAUUACUGAGAAAAUUUUAGAAAAUUGUCUUCUGCUUUUUUAAUCUCAAGAUGCCAGUUACAUGAAUCCUGGCAUGAUAAAUUCAAUAUAUGAAAAAUUCAAGAACAUAACUUAGAAUUAUUGGGAAAAUCCCUUAAAAAUUCAACAAUUCCAGGAUAUAUCUAUGCAAUUAUGCAAGUAAUUUAUUAUAUAUAGCCUAAUUAGAGAUAUAUAUCUGAAUCUCCAAUUAAAUUUAUUUUUUCUACUAAUUGUUGUUUUAGAAACUAUUUGACUUGAAAUUAUUAUAAUUGGCCCUGUUUACUGGGUGAUGUCUAACCUGCAAAUGCAACAUAAAAAUGGUCAUUUCUUAAGUUGAACUCUUGACUUGCUCUUUGGCUCUUGUUUUACAAAUAAUAAUUCCAUUUCCAUUUUUAUAGUAAAUUUAUAUCAAUUAUCUGUCAGCAGUCAACUGGCAUCAAUAAUCUUGAAAAAAAAGAAAUAAAAUUAUGACAUAAAUAAUCAACUAAUAACCCUUAUUAAAUCAAUUUUUUAGGGUUUAUAAAUCAUUAAUUAACUGUAUAUAAUCUGUGUGUCAAAAGAGGUGGACUACCGUCUAUCUGUGUUUUAUUUUAGCUUAUCAUUUAGUUAAAUGCUGCCUAGCUCCAUUUUACUUUUAUAUAAAUACAUUAUAAAAAAAUUUUCUGAUAAAAUUAUUCUCUCUUAAUCUUAAUAAUCCUUUCCGUUUGUUAUUUGUAUUUUGAUAAAUGAUAUGAACAUCUGAUCUGCUAAUAAAUUAUGAAAUUUUUAAUUUUAAUAAUCACGAUUAAAUUCAUGAAAACUUCAAUAAAAUAAUUAAGAAAUCAACUAAUUUUUGCAUUUUCUUUUUUUUUUUUAGUAAAGGACAAAAAAAAAAUGGGAAUCUAUUGAAAAGUAUAAUUGGCAGAAAUUGACUACUCAAUCGAUAAGAUCUGAUUAGGGUAAAAAGCAAGCUAAAUUCGUAAAUUACUGAGCAUGAUAAACUCUAGACAAUCAAGCAAUGACUUUAAAAUAUUACAACCUUAACCAACAUAAUUAUCGUUCUAAGACGCCCAAAAACACGAAAACACAGCCGCCUCUAUGUCUUGCUUAUUUUGUUAAUUUAAAAGUCAUAAAAAGCAACAUCCUCCGAUUAAAAAGUAAUAUAGUAAUUGUUGAAAUAUGGAUAUUGGCCAAUUGGAGUCAAAUUUACCGGCACAUUCACAUAGGCAUUUUCUAACUCUUAAUAUGAGUUAAGUUAGAAUUUUUUUUUUAAGGUAUUUUUUUUUUAUAGCAUUCCUUUACUCGGCACCGCUUAAGUUAAAAUUUUAUUUUUAAUAGUCUCACAAAAGUAUUUCUAAUAGGAUUGACAUUUGUGCAUGAUAUAUAAAUAGACACGUAUAAUUGUGAAAAUUAACAAGAUGAGUUAAUAUUAAUUGCUCUAAUAAAAGUUUUCUUUUUUAGAAAUUUUUUUGCCUAAUUCUAUGGUAUCCACCCAUAAUUUUAGAAAUUAAAAUGUGAAAAAUUGUGGAUAACUCCAAUAGUUGUUUCAUGUCAAUCAUAAACCAUUGACAUUGUUUAUGGUUAGCUUAAAUAUUUUUUAUUAUUAGUCUAAAUUGAUCUUGAAGAUUAAUAUUAACAUUGCAGUAAGUAAUCCUAAAUUUAUUAAUUUUUUAUAAUAAUAAUAAUCUUAAAAACCAUAAACAAUUUAGAAAGAAAUUAAAAACGAAAAAUGGGGCAGCUACUUUAAUAUUAACAUUUUGUGAGGGAUAUGUCUCUAUCUAAUAUAUUUUAAAAUGAUUUUAAGGUAUAUACUAUUUCACAUUAACUUUAAUUGGCAAGAAAAAAUAACUUUUCUCCUAUCUAAUUAUUAGACUAAUUUUUGUAGGUUUUGUCACAACAUUUUACCUCUUAAUGGCUUCAAACAGGAAUUUGUGUCUGAAAAUCCACUGUUGAAUUUCUUUGUCUUGUGCCCCAUAUUCUCCUACACUUCACAUGGCCCUGUCCAUUAGACUUUUGAAAUUGGAAGAAUGAAAAGGUUCACAUGUGCUUGUUGGUAUAUGGCAAAGUUUGUUCUUCCCUUGAUCCCAUGAUUAUUUUCUCUUUAGAAUUUUUGAUUCAAACAAAUAAAAAGAGAUUUGUGUUUUGUUUUUAAUCUUAUUUUUCACAUGACUGAGUUUUGAGAUCCAACAAGAUCAGCUAGCAGCUCAUGUUGCUAAAUAGUGAAGGAUCAUGCAAAUUGUAAAGUGCUAAACACCCACCAUUUCAAUAUUAUGAUUCUAGUUUUUUUUAUAGUUUAAAAUGUGAGGUAUUUUAUAUUAGAUAAAAAGAUUUAAUUAUUUAUAAAUAAAAUUAAUUUUUGUAUUAAUUUUAUUCAUAUUUUAAAUAAUUAUGUUUGAAUAGAAACAAUUAUUAUAUAAUAAAUGUUCAUAACUAUUUGAAUAUAAAUAGAUUAUUAUUCAUGAAGAUCAUAAUUAUAUAGAAAGUCAUAACUAUCUGAAUAGAAGUUUAUGUCUGUUUAUUCAUUAUAAAUAAAUCUUUCAGUAUAACUAUUUUCACUACUUUUGAUUGGAGAGUUUGAGUUUUUAUUGUAUCUUAAAUGGCAUAAUUACCUUUAAAAAUGUGUUUUUCACGUCUCAAAAUCAAAAUUUUUUUCUAUUAUUUCUUUUCUCUUAUUUAUUUUUUAUAAUAAUUUAAAGGCAAUUAUAAGAACUUUAUAUUUCACACAAUAAAGAUACAAGGAAAAUAAAUUGGCAUGAUUUGAAUAUCAAUAUUAGAGGGGGCUCAAGGUGUCAAAGGAUUAAUAUUUUCAUAAACCAAAAUAUUAAUUUUCAUAAAAAUCUUUAUUAGAGGUAUAUAUUUUAUUUUUUGUAUAAUUGCUGGUAAGAAAAUUGACUAAAUAAGAUAAACAUGUUAAUAAUUAAUUUCAUUAGUGUGUAAAGUCAAAAUAUAAUAUGCAAAAUAUUGAUUACAUAACAUAAGUUUAUGUAUAUUCUAAAAUUAGCUCCACAAUUAAAUUUAAUGAAUUGUAUUAUAUCUAUUUAAAAAAAUCGAUGUUUAUAAAGAUUGAGAUGAAAAAUAGCCUGAAAUCAUAAAAGAGAUAGACAUGAAUUGAUUUACAAUCAAAAGAAUUAUCACUUGUUAUCAAGUAACGAGUUAAAUUGGGUUCUAAUGAAAUAGCCAAUUAUUUAAUUGUCAUGUCUUAAUUAUAUAUAAAAUAGGCAAAUUGUCCCAUGGUUUCUAUGAAAGAUAAUUGGAAAUGUGUAAAGAAAUUUACCAUAAAAAAUUAGAUGUAAGUAGAGAAUAUAUACAAAAAAUAAGAUUUGGCUACAACAUUAGUUUUAUUUUUAAAUCAUGACACCAAAAUUGAGAUAAUAAGUUAAGUCAAUCUAUUUGUAUAGGUUUAUAUUUGUUGGUAAUUUAUAAAUCAAAGGUUAUAUAUUUUUUUUGAAAUUUUGGAUAGUGUUCAAUUUUCAUAAAAAUUAAUUAAAAUUAAAUUGAUAUAUGUGAAUAAUUAUUAUUAAGAUAUGGUGUUGGAUUAAUUGAUAGAUAAUAAACCAAAUAAUUGUUAUUAUCAGAAACAUCGACAAUGUAAUAUGUAUUUUGCCUGCUUGGUGUAUUACACUAGAAGUAAUUUCACAAAAUAAAAUUUUAUCGUAAACAAUCACAAAGAAAAAGUUUAAGGUACAAUUCAAUUUGUGUUUGAUGGUUAAAACAAGUAAGACAAAUAAACUUAAAAUUUUGGAAUAUAAAUGUUCCUGUUGUAUAACUAUGAUUAAUGAAACUGACUUAGAAAAUGUUGAGAUUAAAUAGAUGUUUGUUAAAAAAGAAAAUAUCAAACUAUUAUAACUAUGAGGUUUAUAAAGGUUUGAAUUUUGAAAUAUUAUUCCCGUUAAUGAUAGCAUUUAUAAAUUGUUUGAACUUAUAAUAUAAUAAGUUAAUACAAGUUUAUUAUAUGCAAUAAAAAUAUAAUUUCAUGAAGAAUUGUGGCUAGUGAGAAUGUAAAAUACAUUAAGUAUGUAUAUCUAUGGCAUCCCUAUAUUUUGUAAAUUUUAUGUUAGUAUCACUAACAAAAUUUUGGCCAACAAUUUGGGCUAAUUAGAUGACUGAUUAAAAGAAAAGGGAUGUCAUUAAAAAUAUUGAAGCAUUUGUUAGUUAUUAGCAUUUUAAAUGAUGCUCAUCAAUGCUUAAAUUAGUCGUGUUUAUAAAUUGUGUUAGCUCAAAGGUUUAGAAUAAACCAAGAGGAGAGGUGAAUUGAUUUUAAUGAAGUUUUCAAAAACAAUAUUCAAUAAGCACAAAUUUUGCUAAACAAUUAAACACAAUAAUUGAAAGUAAAUAAGAAAUAAGGAUAGAGAAUAUAACACCGUAAUUUAUAGAGGUUCGAUCCUUCCUUAGGCACCUACGUCCUCUCCCUUAGCCUAUUUUGAGAAGAAGUUCAAUCCACUAUAUGAAAAAGAUUACAAUCAAGCUUCUUAAAGAUUUACAAGAACUAAAUUCAACACACUCUUAAGGGUUAUCCUCCCCCUUAAGAUUACAAACUCAAAAUACAUAAUUUUUAAGUUGUUUACAAACUCUAAGAACCUCUCAAAGGUUGGAUGUUUGCUAAUUUGAAGUACACAAUAGUAUGGACAAAAAAGUAGAGAAAAACUGAUAUGAAUUUUGCAUUUUUCUAACUUAGAAUAGCUUUAAAUGCUAUAGUAGAUUGGUAGGUGAAUAGCAAUAAGUUCUUGGCUCUUGUUCCUCUUGGUCUAUAGUGGAAUGCUUGAUUUAUAGGUAGGAAUAAGUUGAGAGCCAUUGGAUAGCAUUUAAUGCUUCAAAUCUAUAAAAAAUUCAGAUAAAAAAUAGCCAUGAAAGUUUUUAGCCUUCAGGGGAUCGAUCAUUAGUCUUAGGGGAUCGAUUGGUUCAUGUUGGAAAAGGCUCGAUUUUGUGCCUAAAUUACCUUACCUGAUCGAUCCCUUCAUCCAAGGGAUUGAUUGGUUCUUUAAGUGAUCGAUCCUCUAUGUGGGGGGAUCGAUCCCUUUUUUGAAAAAUUAUACGAUGAACACUUUUUGUAUAAAAAAGUGAUCGAUCCCUUGAAUGAGAAGAUCAAUCUGGUCAUUUUGAAACCUCAAUCGAUCGAUCCCUACAGGGAGAGGAUCAAUUGGUUUUUGCCAAAACGUGAGGAAUUUUCGGUUCUAGAGGAAGACAUGAUCAAUCUUUUUUGCUAGGGGAUCGAUCUGGUAAGGAAGAUCGAUCCCUUCUAUCAAAACUUGCAUUUUUCAGGCUUUGUUCCAAGAAUUGACUUGUAUUGGUUCUCAAAUGGAUUUUGACAAGAUAAAAUGAUGAAAAAAUGUUCAAUUUAGGCUUAGAAAAGAUUGAUUCAAGUUAGGUAAAUUUUUUAUUUUGUCAAAUCAAAACUCUUGAUCAAUUCAAGGCUAACAAUUUUCUCUUUUUUGAUAUGAUAAAACCAAAUGAAAAAUUAUUAAUAAUAUCCAUGAUGAAAUAGAUUCAUAAUAAGUAUUUAUGAAUGGACAUAAAAAGUCUUAAAAAGAGACUAUAGAAGCAUGAUUAUAUUUGAAAUCUACUUAUUGAAGUAAAUUCUUAUAUUAAGUUAAAAUAUAAAAGUUUUGGCAUUUUUAUAUAAAUAUUAAGAUAUUUACUAGUUAUCUUUCACUAAGGGUGAAUUUGAAAGCCUCCUACUUAAAAAAAAAAAUCACCAAAUAGCGAAAAGAUAAAUGAAAUUAAAACUUGAUUAAGUAUAUAUUAUAUCAUGACAAUUGAAUGAGAUAUUCUUUAAUAAAAGAAUGCAUACUUGCACAUGGUGGGGAUGAUAAGAAUCAAAAGAAACAAAAAUUAUCACCAUAGUGUUAUAAGAUUUAAGUAUAAUGUUAUGAUCAAAUUACACAAGUUAAUAAGUUUAGAUACUUAUUAAAGUAAAAUCAUAAAAAGUCUUUAAAAAUCUUAAUGAACUUAUUAAAGUAAAAUCAUAACAAGUCCUUAAAAAUCUUAAAAGAACUAAAAUGAUUUGGUUUAUUCAUUGAAUUUAUCCAAUUGUACUAGAAGUAUAAUUGUAUUAAAGAUAUAUAAAAAUAUGAAAAUAGAAUGGUUGAAAUUUAUAAGUAAAAGUUGUGACCACAACCAAAACCAACUAUUUAUUAAAAUGAUAAAAAUGAGGCAACAACAUCUGGAGCAUAUAAAUGAUAUGCAAAAUGAAAAGUUCAGACAUAUUAACCUAAAUUGAUUAUAUUAGUUAUUUAAUCUCAAGUGGGGGUAAUUACAAUAAAAGAAAAUUGAAUUUCAAUAUAUUUAGUUUAUAGUACUACAAGUCGAAUAAAUUUAAACUCUUACUAUUAGACACCAAUAAUGGGAACCCAACUUUGAAUUAGAAACCUCUAAUUACAAAGUUUAAUGGGUAAAAACAAAUUAUUGUUAUGUGUCUGUCAAGCACUAAUAAAAUCCAUUCAAAUUUUAGAAAUUAGUGUGAUCCAUUGCAUGAAAAAGAUGAGUUUUUAUACUUUUAAUGAAGUUUUAAAUGUCUAAAGCAAUAGAGACAUAAUGAAAACUCUACUUGUAUAAACAUAGAAGUAGUGCCACUUUAACGAGAAAAAUUGAAGUCUCUCUUAUAAAUAUUUAUGAAUAGAAUAAACACAUAACCAUAAUAGUGCUAAAAGCGGUUAUAAACAUCUGACAGAAUAAUAAAUAAGUAUUUUGUAUGUUAUAUCUUCAAUUCUAACAUUAAGAGUUGAGGUUUAAUUUGCGGACACCAUCAACUUUAUUAGAAUUCUAAGAUAUAUAUGCUAAUUAAAGGUUUAAAUCAAGAGAUACCAUCUUAUAUUUAUAAUAUUUAUUUGUGUGAUAGUUUAAAAAUUAAGCACCAGUAUUUCAAACUAGUGAGAGAUUAUUGGUAGUUUAGAAUGUGGUGCAUCUUACAUUGGAUAAAAAUUAAUUUUUGUACUAAUUUUAUUCAUAUUUUAAAUAAUAUAUUUAAACAAAAACAAUUAUUAUAUGAAAAAUAAUCAUAACUAUUUGAAUAAUAAUAGAUUAUUAUUUAUAAAAAUUAUAAUUAUACAGAAGGUCAUAACCAUCUAAAUAAAAAUUUAUGUUUGUUCAUUCAUUAUAAAUAAAUCUUUUAGUAUAACCAUUUUCACUACUUUUGAUUAGAGAAUUUAAGGUUUAUCAUAUUUUAAAGGUAUAAUUACCUUUAAAAAAGUAUCAUUCACGCCGCAAAGCUAAAAUUUUUUUUUUAUUAUUUCUCUUCUCUUUUUUAUUUUUUCUAACAGUUUCAUGUUUUACCUUUUUAAUCUUUUAUGUGAAAUCAUUUUCUUUUCUUUUGUUUUUAAUUUUCUUGUCAGAAUUACUAAAUCAUGAAAAUUUUUUCUAUUUUGUUUGAAUUUAUUUCAUUUACAUCCUUACUUAAUAAAUGCCAAAAAUUAAAUUAUAGCAUUUCUUGAAAUAAUAGAUCAUGCAAGCAAUUAUUGUAUUUAUUUUUUUACAUAAUUGAAAAUAAUUUUAUUCAUCAAAAAAUAACUAAAAAAAUAACUCUUACAGAAGUUUUAAAAAAAGAAUAAUUAAUAACAAAUAAAUACCAAAUCAUCUAAUUCAAAAUUAGCCUUACAUAAGCUUUUCUGUCUUAACUUCAAACCAUUUUUUUCUACAGAGUAGAGCAACUAACCUUAAAAAAAAAUCAGGACAUUCAACCUACAAAUAAAUGUUAUUUUAAUAAAAAAAAUACUUGUGUCACAAUGCACAACCUAAAACAAGCCUAGCAAGAAGCUUUUUUUUUUUUUUCAUUAGAAAAUGUUAGGUAAUUAAUUACUAAUUCUUAUGACUCAUGCUAAGUAUUUUGUAAGGCAAUGAAAUCAGCUGUUGUGGACAUUAUAAUUGCCCUAAAGAGUUUGCUAUAGGGAGAGCCAUGACAUGGCAUUUAUUCAUUAGACACCUAAUCUGAUUGUUGUUAACAAUAAAUAAAAUAUGUGGCAGUUAACUACUGAUGCAUGAUUUUGUACUUUAUUUUAUAUAUGCGCAUGCAAAUCUCCAUGCUAUCAAAAAAUUAAAAAUAUUUUAAAGUAUCAAUUAUCAAUAGAGAUUAUAUAUUUUAAAUUUCAGAUUUAUUAAGUGUAGUGAUAAAGUCAAACAUAAAAUAAAGAAGAGGCCUAAUAGUAAUAGUAAAGUUAAUAAAAAAGGGAAGGUCGAUGCUGACGUUAGAUGGACUGAGUUAUUAUAUUUAUAAUAGUGUAAAAAAAAAAAUUUGGGUGCAUAAAUCAAUUGAGUUAUUAUGAUAAUAUCAUAAAAUGAUCUUAAAAUUAUAGUAAAAUAUUUAAAUGUAGUAUUGAAACUUUAAAAUUUUUUAAUAUGAUACAUGAAUUAUAAAUAUGUUAAUUAAUAUAAUUAGUCACAUGUUAUUAUUUAAAAUUAACGAUAUUAAAAAUAAAUCUCACAUUAAUUAAUAAAUUUAUAAUUUAAAUAUUACAUUAAAUUUUUUAAAAUUUAAAUAUCACAUCAAAUAUUUUAUUAAAAUUUGAGGUCACUUAUGACAUCAACCCUAUAUGAUUCUACUCUUAGUAAAAUUAUUAUAAUUUUAACAAGUAAAAAGUAAAAAGCAUGAACAAGGAAGCAAUUAUUAGUAGCAUCUAUGCAUACACCCUCCAAGGCAAAGUGUAUGCGAGAGUCACGUGAUCGGAUGAGAAGGCACAAUGAUUUGAGAAAUUUAAUUAAUAUAUAUAUAUAUAUGCAGCUUUCGUUUGCUUAGAUUACAACAACAUAUGCAUAUUUGUAUUGCCACAUACUUUUGUGACAUACUUUACACAUAUAAUUGCAUAGCUUUGUUGAGAUUUUUUAAAGAAAUAUGCCUUCAAAAACAUUGCUAUUAUACACAUUGAUUGUGAGGUUUAAUUCUAAUUGGUCCAAAUAAUAAUUUGAUGAUAAUUUUUUUAAUUCAAUAUUUACUCCAAAAAUUAUAUAUAUUUUAUACAAAAAAAAGCUAAAUUAAGGGAAAAGGAAAAUGUAAUUAUAUAAGUGUUGAAAAUUGAAUCCAACCUUAAUUAUAAGAAUUCAGGUGAAUAAUUUGACUAAGCACUUGGUUCAUAUACAUAUAUAUUCAUUUGAUUCAUUCGGUUAAAACCAUAAUGAAGGUGAAUAAUUUGAUUAAGCCACUGGUUUAAUUAAAAUUAAUCAAAUUAAUCGAAUUUUUACUUUCUUCUAAAUUUAAUAGAGAAUAACAUAAAAAUCAAACUUUAACUAAUUGAAUUAUUCGAUUAAAUUAGGUGAUUUUUUAAUUUAACGAAUUUUAAUGUCUAACAUCAAUAACUUAAAAUUAUAUCUUGAAAUCCUAAUUUUUUUUUUAAUUCAAAUAAACAUAACCUCCAAGCGAAUAUUCCAAUACCAAAUAUAAGUAAGACAUCUAACAAAGAUUAAAAAUAACAUAUUCCACAAUCAUCGUAUAGUUUUUUUAUUAAAAAUGGUAACAAAAGGGAUGAACAGUUAGCAAGGCACGUACUCUUCCUUGUCAUCAUUAAUCUCUUAAACAAACAUAAAACACAACUACACUUUUUUUUUUUUAUUUUAGAAUACAACAUAUUGAAUAUUAUCAAAUAGAUUAAUCAAAAAUAAGAAAAAAGCCUUAGUUUUAUUUACAAGUUUCAUCUGUAGAUUUCAAAUCAUAAUUACAAAAAAAAAAAAAAAGGUAUAAAACAACAAUAUGGGAUAUGCAUAGGUUGAAGCUAAAUGAAAUCCAUGCCAACUAAUAUAACUAUCAUUUAAAUUUCAUGAAGAAAAUAAUAUUUUAUUCUUUAUAUUUGAAUAGAAGCAGGCACAUAGCAGCACAAGUAUCAUCAUAACAAAUACAACAGUCGAGUUGAGAAAAUGCAUCAUUGAAACAAUCAUUCGAAACCAUUUGGUCGUCUAUUAAGCAAGCAAUAGCAACGUAGAAACAGAUUAAACGUCUUCACGACUUUGAACAAGAUUAUCAAAAUGAUACCUUGGGAAACCAGGCCGAGUAACUCUCUGUGAUCAUAAAUAAAUAAGCACUAGCAAUAUUAUUGUUAACGUGAUAACGUUACUGAAAAUGUCCUUGGAUUUUUCGAUUUUACGACUUUUUAAUUUUUUAUUAUUAAAAAGUAGCUUUUUUUUUUUGGUAAUUAAAUAUAUAUAUAUAUAUAUAAAUGAAUCGAAGAGUAUAAAUGUUAGUAUUCAUAUAAUUAUACAGAAAUCUUUGAAUUAUUCACUUAGUGUAAGUUUUAUAUAUUUUUUAAUUUUUAGAUCAAAAUUAAAUUUAUAAUAUUUAUUUUUAAUUAUUUUUAUUUAAAAAUUUUAAAAAUAUUUAAAACUUAAAUUAAUAUAAUCCUCCUCUUAAAGUUAUUUAUAUAUUUAAUUUAAUUUUUUCUUCCUUUGAAUGAUUCUUUACAUUUUAUUUUAUUUAUAUAUAAUGCACUUAUUGAAAUUAUAACUAUUUCUAAAUUUUAAUUUUUUAGUAUUUUACAGUUUUUUGCAUUAGUGAUGAAUUUUUUUUCCUAUUUUCAUUCACACAUUUAUCAUCUUCAUGAGUGUGAGACUAGCAAAUAAGAUCAAUUGCGAAUGUGAUCAAUUUGUCAAUCAAACGUAAGUUGCUAGUCAUUUAUAAAUUAGGAAAGAUAAUUAUUUUGCACUUUAAAAUGAAAUUUGGAACUUUACAAAUUAAUUUAUAAAAUUUUCACUUUUUUCAUUAAUUAAAAGUUAAUAGAUAUGUAAUAAAUUUUUUUCAAAUUAUUUAUAAAAAAUUAUAAACUUCACUUCUUUUUUUUUUUUUUUUGUGGCAGACACAUCGCUAUUUAAGACUACUCCAAGCCCAACUUCUGAUCCAAAUCAGGUUUGAUUCAUUUAGGCCAAACCCAUCCAUAGAGCCCACAAACUUAGAUCAAAUUUAAAAGUCAGAAGAAUAGGCCUGGCCCGCUUGCAGCUCUAGGGUUAACAAUGAUUACUAUUUACUUACAUUUGGUUAAUGGUUCUUUUUUUUUUUUUUCUUUUUGGAAGAAGAAAAGUUAAAGUUUUUGUAAAAAAAAAAAUUAGAUGUUGCAAUAAAAAUAAUUACUUCUAACAGAGAAAAAACAGUUUUUUUUUCCCAAAAUUAAAAAAAAAAGUUCAAAAAUGAAAAAAAAUUUAGAUAUUGGAUUUUAUCCUAUUUUAUAGAGAAAUAAAAUAACAACUACAAAUAUUCUUAUUUUCAUAUGAUUAUUACUAUGCAUUUUUUUUAUAUAAUAGGCCGCAAUAUGUAAAAAAGGAAAGAGAUUGAAAAUGUUGAAAUUUUAAUUUUAAAAAUUAUUAAAUAUCACCUCUUAAAAAUAAUUGUAUAGAUCAAUUGAACUAAACUUCAACCUUAUUUUAUAUAAUUUAUUUAUUUGAUUUUCAUGUAAAACUAUAGAAUUUGGUUGCUCUAUAAUUUUCAACUUCUAACCUAGCAAAAAUAACAAUUACAAAUAUCCUUAUUUUCAUAUGAUUAUUAUUAUGUAUUUUUUGUAUACAAUAGAUCACAAUAUGGAAAAAAGAAAAGAUGUUGAAAGGGUUAAAAUUUGAAUUUUAAAAAUUAUUGGAUAUUAUUUUUUAAAUAUGAUUAUAUAAACUAAUUAAAUUAAAUUUCAACUUCAUUUUAUAUAAUUCAUUUAUUUGAUUUUCAUGUAAAACUACACAAUUUAGUUGCUUUAUCCUAUUCAGCUUCUAACCUAGUUAAAUACAUUAAAACAAAUUACAUGAUUCUUUUUACAUAUCUUUAAAUAAAAAAAUAAAAUUUUAAAAAAUAAAUCAUAUUUAAACGAAACUCGUUCAAAAAAUAAAAAAAUCAUUUGUUUUGUGUUUAAUUAAAUUAAAUGAAUUUGUUCAUUAAUUAAAUAAAUAUAUUCAUAAAUAUAUAUAAACAAAUUUUUAUGAAUAAUAAAUAAAUUUAAACAAAUAAACUAUUAAUGAAUAUAAAAAUAUUAAAAAUUAGAUUAAAAUAAAAAAUAUAAAUUAUUAUUAUUAUUAUAAACAAAUAAAUUUUAAACAAAUUUUAAAUAAAAUUAUUUAUAAAUAUAAAUCAAUCAUAUAAAUCUUGAUCUAUAGUCGAUUUAUUAAAUAAAUAAACAUAAAAAUAACAUCUAAAAUUAUUUAUUUAAUUUAAUAAAUAAAUAAAAAUCAAUCAAAUUCCUAAAUAAUUCAAAAAAAACUAUGAUAGUUUACACCCUAACACACAAGGCAGCAGCAACAAUUUAAUGGAAAAGGAGUUUAAGAUUACGUACAUAAUUUUUUCUCAUAAAAGUAUAAUCAUCAAACAUGUGGCAACGUUAUCACCGCCACUACGUACUCCAGAAUUGGGUCCCACUUAAAGAAAACCAGGGUGAAGAGCGUGAGGUUGGCGCGUGAGAAAAGAGUCUCUUGUUUCUGAAGCAAAGAGACGAAAAAAAAAGGUAAACGAAGCAUUUUAUUUUACCCAUAAAAAUAGCGAUCAUGAGGGGUCCACACUCACAUCGCUCUUUUACUUAAAUUUUUUGGGUGUCAUGUCACGCACCUUGCGAAAUCUCAAGAUAUAUUAACGAUAAAUUUGGUAAUAACAAAAUCAAAUGUCCCUAUUUAAUUUUCUCGUCUUGGAUUCUUUCUUUGAAAAAAUAACGAAAAAACAAAAUAGAAUUGUAUUUUCCAAUUAUAGGUGACGGAUUGGCCAAGCGUAGAAAGGUUUAAGAUAUAUAUUUGGAUUAGAUAUCUUAAUUUUAGAUUAAAUAUGAUAAUAUGAUAUAAAAAUAAUAUAAAAAAUUAUAUAUGUGUUUUAAAUAACAUAUUUUUUAUUUAUUUAUAUCGACAUAAAUUUUAACAUAAUAUAAUUUAUAAUUUAUAAUUUAUAAUUUAUAAAUAUAUAAAUAUUAUUUAAAUUUUUAAUCUUUUAAUUAUGAUAUUUAAUUAUCUAUUUAAUAUCAUAUAAAUAUUAUUUUAAACAUUUAAUUAUGAUACUCAAAUAAUUAUUAUUAUAUAAUUAUUUUUAUAUUAAUAAUAUAAAUAUAAUAUAAAUAUUAAUAUUAGUCAUAUACAUUAUUAUUUUAUUUUUUAAUCUUUAGUAGUUUAUCAUUUUGAAUUUAAUAUUAAAAAUUAAUAUAAUUUUGUAAUAUAUAUUAAAAUUUAAAUAUAUAUAUUAAAAUUUAAAUAUAUAUAUUAAAUACAUAUUAAAUGUGCAUUAAAAUAUAUUUUUUUAAUAUGUACGUACUUUUUUAUAUUAUUAAUUUGUUAAAUUUAUUAAGUUAUAAAUGAUAAAUAAUUUAUAGUUAUUUAUUAUUUUGAUUAUAUUUUUGUAUAUAUUUAUUUAUUUGUAUAUAUCCGUAUUAAUCGUAUCUAUUCAUUUAUAUUCAUGUUAUUCGUGCUUAUUCAUAUUAUAUUUAAACAGAUUAAUUAUACACGUAUUAAUCAUGUUAUAUUACAUAUAACACAUAUUAUAAACAUAUCGUGUUUAUAUUUAGGGUUUAAAUAUAUUUUAUAAUUUAUGUCAUGUUCACGUUUUAAUAAUUCAUGUCAUUACAUAUGUUAAAUAUCAUAUAAAAACAUAAAUUAUCAUAUAUAAUUUGGAUGAUUAGUUAACAAAUUUAUAAUUUAAUAAUUAUUCAUAAUAUUAAUUUUUAUUAAUAUUAAUCUCACAUCACUUUUACUACUAAAUUAAAUUAAAAUUAUGAAAAUUACGGCUUGAAUGUACUAACUCAUUAGAAAUAGGGGUGUUUAAUGGAUUGAUUUGAUUAAUUUCGAAUUAAAUUAAUUAAAUUAUUUUAUUUUUAUUAAUUGAAUCAAUUUUUAAAUUUUAAAAAUUAAUCAAUUGAAAUUAAUUUAAUUGAUUCAAUUAAUUUUUAAAUUAACCAAAUAAUAUAAUAUUUUAAGUGAAAUUAUAUUUUAAAUUCUUAUUUUCUUAUAUGUGAAAUAAAUUAAAUAAAGUGAUCAAACACAAAUAUUAAAACACUAAAGUAUUAAACUAAAAACUAUAAUAAUUUGAAUUGAAAUAAAUAAAUUUAUAUAUUAUUAGUUUUAUAUAUGAAUUAUAUAAUAUUUUUGUUAAAAUUUUGGCUAAUUUGAUUUUCUGUUUUGAUUUUCAAAUUGAAUUAACAAAAAAUAAAAAUAAAUUUAAAAUAAUUUUUUAUAAUCAAUUAAUCGAUGAUCAAUUAAUUAAUCCAAUUAAAUCAAAUUGACCGAUUAAUUUAAUUUAAACAAAAUUAUGAAUACCUCUAAUUAAAAAUAAGUUUGUAAGUUUUGUCUCAAACAACUCAUUAGAAGUAAUGUACGUCAUACAUAUGAAUGAAUGGUGAUUAAAUUAAAAUCUAAAAAAUGCCAAUUUAACUAAUAAGAAGAGGGACGAAUGGAAAAGACCCACAAAGGAGAGGAAAGUGGAUCAUGUCGGCAGGCAUUAAAAUUUUUGGUGCCCAAAAAGGAAAACAUAACCAUUUGAUAUAUAGAUCCAAACGAAAGAGUUGUGCAACAUGAUGUUAAUCAUAGUGAAUUGUUUAUAGGCAGCUUUAAGGAUACCAUAGCUACCGGAAACAAAUUUAAGGGAUAGGUGCAUGAUACUGAUUAAAGUGAUACUUUAAAAAAUCCAAGUAAUAAAACGUUUUAUCUUUUUUUUUUUUUUGGUAAAUAAGGUAUAUUAAAUGUAAAAAUUUUAAAAACAAUAAUUAAAUAACCCUCAAUAAACAUUUACGGACCCUAGAUUUAAGUCUUAUCAUAUAAUGAAUUGUUAGUCUAAUGAUAUUAAAAUUACUUUUAAAAUUGAAUGUAAAUUAUAAUUCGAAAAAUAUUAAAAAAUUAAAUAAUGCUAACUUUUUUAUUCAACAAUCUUUCCUUAUUAGGUAUCAAUAUUAUUAAAUCCAAAAUCUGCGAUUCCUUUACAGCAUGUUUGGAUUAAGGUAAAGGACAGAGAAAAUGAAUGAAUGGAAAGGGGAAAUCAGUUCCCUUAUUAGUAUAUGACAUAAAUAAAAAUAAAAAAAGAUAUAUUUAGCUCAUUUUCUUUUUUUUUUUACUUUUUUUAUUUUUUAAUUACCCCAAUUUGGAAGAAAAAGAAGGGCAAAGAAAAAAAAUAAAAAUUUAAAAUAUAAAAUGAUUAUUAUAUUUUUAUUAAAUUUAAAAUUAAAGUGUAUAAUUUUAAACUUCAAAAUCGGAUUGAAAAUAUAAAACAUCAUUUACUAAUAAAGUUAUUAUCUUUAAUUAUUUCUCUUAUUUUUAUAAAUUUCAUUGAUAACUAUUUUUAUGAAAAAAUAAAAAAAUUGAAAACAUGAAAUUCGUUAAUAUAAACAUAUAAAUAUUAUAAUAAAAAUAAAUAUUAUCAAAAGUUAUAAUCGAAAAAAAUAAUAUAAUAAAUUAUUUUUUUAUUUUCAUUAUUUAAAAAUACAAUGAUUUUAAAGAAUUUUUUAAUUUUUAUUAAUUUUAAUUAUUCAAACAAAAAACACAUAUAUCAUUUAAAAAAAAAACUUUUUUUUUUACUUUUCUUUAUUUUCUUUUUUUUAAUAAUGUUUAUUCAAAUAUAGCAUUAAAACUUUGAUUAAAUACAACCAAUUAAAAGAGGAGACGAAAACAAAAGUGAGCCAUGGCACGAAGCCCCUGCUUGAUAUGCCCAUGUGCAAAAAGGACCCAAUGUGCAUAACUUUGCAACUUUUUCCCUAUUUCGUACUAUGUAUUUAGAAAGCUGUUUCCAUUGCAUUUUUAUAACCCAAAAAAAGAAAAAGAACGAGCCACAAAGCACAGCCAACCAAAAUUGAAUGGAAUUUUUUUAAACUUUAUCGAUAUUAAUUGUACCAAAACAAAAACAAAUAGUAGGAAUGGCUUUCUCCAUGUAGUAUCAUCUUGUUUUCGUAUCCCAAACGGUGUUUUAUGUAUAUAAUAUUUUAUCUUAUAGCGAGUUUUAGUCACGACUCGUGGGAUUAGAAGUAGAAAGAGAAAGCGAGGGUUUUGAUUUUUUCGAAGGAAAUAAGAAGAGAAGAGAGGAGAGGAGAGGAAAGGAGGAGAGAAAUCGAAAGAAAAGAAAGAGAGUGGGUGAGUGAGGGAAAUUAAAUGUUAAGACGUGGAAAAUGAGACCUUUUUGCGUGAUGGGUUACGGGAAACGUCACACUCAAUAUUCAAUGUUCAUGCAUAUCAAUUAUGAAACACUCACCAAUUACUUUUUUUUUUUUAAGAGAAAGAGAUAAGCCUAUAUUUUUUUUCUUCUUUAAUGAGAAUCGUAGAUUAAAAUUUAUCACUUAUAUUAGUUUAUAAAAUUUGUUUUAUUAAAUAAUAUAUAAAAUUUAAGAUUACAUCAUAAAUUUUUUUAAUCUAAUAUUAGUGAGAUAAUUUUUAUAAAAUUAAAAACUGUUGAUAAGAUUCUCAAAUGUAUGUAUAUAUUGAAAUAGAUCUCAAAUAAAAAAUUUAUUAUCUUACUUCUUCAAUCAUGAACAAUAAAUUACUAAAAAUUUUACAAUUAAAUAAAUUCAUUCAACAUUUUGAUUCUUCUUAUAUUAUAAACUCAAAUGAUAUUGUCAUAACCUAAAAAAAUGCCAACACCAUGAUAAAACUUGACAUGACCCAAUCCACAAAAUCAAUGGUCUCCAUGAUUUUUUUUUUUAAAUAAAUUUAAAGGUAUAUAAAUUAUUUAGUUCAUCAGAUCAAGAUAAAAAAAUAUCAAUACCAUGAUAAUACUUGACAUAACCUAAUUCACAAAAUCAAUGGUCUCCAUGAAUUUUUUUUUGUAAGAUAAAUUUUAGGAAUAGAUAGAUUAUUCAAUUUUUCAGGUCAUGAUAAAACUUGACAUGACCCAAUUCACAUAAUCAAUGGUCUCCAUGAUUUUUUUUUCUGUAAGAUAAAUUUAGAAAUAUAUAGAUUAUUCAACCUCUCAAGUUAUGAUAUCAUGUAUCGUACCUGACAGUAUAAGAUAUAUAAUUAUAGAUCAUACAUUCGAAAUGAUCUCAAUAAGUGAUUAUCGAUAAUACUCACAUUCAAUACCUCUUCGUCUAAAAAACGAAUUUUAACCAAUUGAACUAAUUACUUAUUAGUAAUGAUUUUCAUGAUUAUGAUAUAUAUAUAUAUAUAUAUGGUUUUAAAUUUAAUUUUUAUUGAUAUUAUACCUUUUGUCUCGUCUAUAUGUUUUUUUUUGCUUUUUUUUUAUAAUUAUUGUUUGAAUUCGGUUUUUUAAUUCCUUCAUAUUUGGUAGCUUUUAUUCAUGUAUAAGUCAUUAUUAAUUAAAUAAAAAAAUUCUUUCAAAAAUUUGAAUAAAAUGGUUUUCAAAUAUAUAUUUUUAAAAUUUAAUUUAAUCAAAUAUUUAAGAUAAUUAAGAUCAAAAGGGAAAAGUUUGAUCAUAAAAAGUUCAACUAUACAUGGUAAUAUUUAAGAUAAUUAGUAGAUCCUUUUGACGGUGCUAACUUGAUAAAUACAUUUAUGGUUAUUUUAUAUCAUAAGUAGAGGGAUGACAAAAUUGUCCCGAAACUUAAAAAUUAUGUUUAAUCUUUUAAGAAAUUAUCUAAUUAUUUUUAAUUAAAAAAAUAAUAAUUAAAACUCAAAUAACUCAAAUAAAUAAUAAAAAAUAAUGUAAAUUUAAAUUAAUUUUGUUUUAAAAUUUAAUAAUUUAAACUUGAAACGAUCCAAAAUUCUAAUGAUUUAAAACUAAAGUAAUCUUAAAUUGAUUUUCGACCAAAUUUGAUGUGGACGAAAUUUUUAAGCUUAAAAAUUUUAGCCCGAACAUAUGUUAAGGGUAACAAGCUUGUGAAUAACUCUUCAUAUAUUUAUUAAUUUUCAUUUAUGAAUUUGUAAAUAAAUAAAUAUAAUCUUUAGAUUUAUGUAAUUAAUAAUAAUCACAUAUGCAACGUCAAUAACUGCAAAAAGAAUCGAGAUAAAGUUAAGACUCACGAGAGAAGUUGUAAAUCUAAUCCUUUUACUUGCUCCAAGCUUUAAAAGAAAAAUUUUUUUUCAUAGAAACUAAACAAGGCAAGUAUUUAAUUACAAAGGCAGGAUGCCAAAAGAAUCUUAUUCUUUUAUACAACCACUAUAGUAUGAUGACACUAGUGAUUAACUAAUUAAUUAGUCGUUUAUCUAUUGAAUCAGUUGAUAUGAUAUUAAAAUUCACACUUAAAAAUUAUAAAUUAAAAAAAAUUUAUAUAUGUAAUAUUUUUUUUAAUUAGAUAAAUAAUUAAAUAAAAAUAUUUAAAAAUAAAUUAAGAAUUAAAAAAAUAAUUGAGCAAAAAUUAAUUUCAAAGCUAAAUUUAAAUAUUUUUAUCAUAUCAAAAAAUAUAUGUUAUGAUUAAAUGCUUAAUUUUAUAAUGUAUUUUUUAAUAAAUCAUUAUAAUAAACUCCAAAAUGGAGCCAAAUUAUGCUUGUUGUGUUCAAAAACUUUUUUUAGUGCUUUCAAGUCCCACUUAAUCUGCCAUAAAUGAUGUGAAUGCACGUGCAUUUCACGUUCCAUUACAUAGCAUGAUGCCAUUAAAUGUCAUCUGCCAAACACGACAACCCGCUGUCCUUUCUCCCCUUCAAAGUCCAAAUUUCCUUACGACUUUUCCUAGGUUUGGUUUGGUUUGGUCCAACCCAAUCAUCUCCCCUCUUCUUUUCUUUCAUUGCCCGCUGGUUGUGUUAUCCAUGGGGGUUUAUUCAAUGUUUAAAUUGAAGAUAUUUUAAAUUCGAAACUUUAUCAGUUUAUUUUAUAUAGUUAUUUUUCAAAAAAUAAUAUUUAAUAAAUUUAAAAUUUAAAUAUUAACAAGUAUAAAUUUUUUAUUUUUAAGUUAUGAUUUUUGAUAUAUAAAAAAAUUUGAAAAUAUUUUGCAAACUCAUCAUGUUUAUAACAAUGUAUUGCAAUUGCAUGUAAGGAAUCUCAAUAAAUUUUAAAUUUGAAACAUAAUAAUAAAUUAAAUUUUAUAUUUUAUAAUUUUAAGAUUAAUUAUAUUAAAAACAUGAUAUAGUUGUUGAUAAUAAUUUGUUUGGAUCAAUAAAAAAGUUUAUUACUCUAUAAAUAAUAAUUUUAGCUCUAUGAUAAUUAAAAAAUGAUUUAUGACCAUUGUUUAAAAAAUUGAGCAAAAAAAAAAAAGGGAAUCAUUGAUAGCAUAACUCCACCUUCUCAACUAAAGCAUAAAGACCCACUUCUUGACAAAUUUAUGCUAAGAAAAAGGCAACGAAAUUUUCGUAUCAUUUCACGAUAUUUUAUUUCGAUAAAAUUAUUUUGUUCAAAAUCUCCGGAUCUGGUGACCGAACUGGAAACUGAGCUUUGGGAUAAAUAUAUUAAAUACAUUAUGUGACAUAUCAAAAGUGAAUUAAUGAUUGUACAAAGAUACUCCAGCCAAAUGGCGCGUGGAUGCCACAUGCUUAAUAAAGUUUGAACAUUUCUUCCUAAAAUAAAUAGGGAGCAUUUCACCCUGCGGUCUAUUUAAUAUAAUUUUGUUAUUAGUCAAUUAUAAUUAAAAAAUUAUAUAAAAUUUAUCAUUUAAAAAUAUAAAUUUUAUAUAAUUUUUAUGAAUCUUAUAUAAUAUUAAAUGAUAAUUAAUAAUUAAUUAUAUUAUAAUAAUUAUAAGUAAUAUAUUAUAAUAAGUAUAUAAAAUAUAAAAGAGAUUAUAAAUAAUUUAAUAUGGAACUUUUUAUAAAAGAGAUUAUAAAUAAUAAAAUUAGUUGUAAUUGUUAAAUUUUGAUUUUUAAAUUUAUUGAGUAUAAUUUAUUAAAAGUAAUUAUUUGAAUUAAUUGAAUUAAAUUUUGUAUGGGUAUGAAAUUUAAGUUUUAUCCUUUUUAUUUUGCCAAAAAAAAGUAUUUCAAGUUUUAUCUUUUUUAAAUUAAAUUAAAUUAAGGUAGAAAAGGAGAUAAAAAGGGCAAAAGAUAUAUCUAAAAGUUCAAAAUAAAAAUUUCCCUUACUUAACAAAAAUAAUAGUAUAAUUUUAUUUGUUUACUUAUAAUAAAACUAUCAUAUUUGAGGAAAAAAAAAAUACUAAAAGGGGAGUGGAACACAAAUUGCUGUCACAUUGAAUAAUUACUAAAUAUAGUAAGAGCGAAAUAAAAGAUAGGUUUCUUCAAAAAAAAAAAUCUCAUAAAUAAUUUGCCUGAGUAGGGCAAAAACAGUGUCAUGCUUUUUUUGUUUAAUGUCUAUAAAUGAUAACAAAAAAAGUAAAGAUAACGAUAACUCAGAUGAAGUAUAAGUUAAACAGCAUAAGCUUUAUUUGGUUUAAAAGAUGAAAAAAAUGAAUAUAAAAAUUUUAUUAAUUUAAUAAUUAAAUUACAAAGUAAGAAAAUUAUAAUAAAUUUUAAUUAUUAGAUUAAUAAUUUUUUCAUCCUUGUUAUUAAGCAAAAUCAAAGUGAUUUUAUUUUCAAAAUUUCAACUUAUGAGAUUAAUUAAAUUAAUAAAUGAGGUCGUAAAUUGAAUAAAUUGGAUUAAUCCUUUGCAGCUCAAGUUUAAAUAAACUUAAUUUUAUAAUAAUACAAAUUUAUACUUUUUUCUCAUAUUGCUUGAGAAAUUAGGUUCUACUUGGUUCAUAUUUUUAUUAUUUAUUAUUUAAAAAGAAAAAGUAAAUUCAUCAACUAAAUGAGCCUCAAUUAAAUUGUUUCUCUCCUUUUAUUUAGCAUAGUUUAUUCAAAAUACAAAUGAUAAAUAAAUAUUUUUUAUUUAAAAUUAUUAAAAUUAAAAUUUUAAUAAUUAAAAUAAAAAAUUUAAUAUUCCAUAAAAAAAAUCCAGCAUCUCUAAAAUUAGAAUGGUAUAACAAUUAUUUGAAAACGUCAAAAUUAAGGGAAUUUUGACCAUAUAUAAUAAAGGAAUAACUUAAAAAAUAAGCCAUCCAUCUUUUGCGAUUUCGACAUUUUUAAGCUACACACGGGUUCAAUCAAUUGAAAACGACAUUGUCCUCUACCAUUUCAUCUUUAAUUUUUUUUUUUUUUUUUGGGAAAGUACCCCUCACUAGUUUCAUUUAGGGUUUGAUAUCUCUCAUUGAACGCACUUGAAAUAAAAUCGAAAAAGGGUUUUAUUUGAUUAUAUCAACAUGGAGUUGGCUCUUGAAUCUUUAAUCUCAAACAAUAAUAGAUGAUUUUGAGUUUAAAAUUCUUAUUAAUAACUUUUUGUUAACAAAUUCAAAUUUUAAUUCAAUUAAUUAAUAAAAUAAUAUUCGAUAAAUUUAAAAUUCAAAAUUUAACAUUUACAAUUUAAUUUUUUAUUUUUAAAUUGUAAUCUUCUUUAUAUAUAUACUUUUUGUUGAAAUUAAUUUGAAGUACUCAAAAUUUUAAUUUAUCCCUAAAUUUUUUAUCUUUAUACUUACAUAAUUAAAAAAAAUAUUACGUGUAUAAAUUUAUUCAAGUUUAUAACUUUUAAAUACUAAUUUUAAUGAUAUAUCCUUUAAUCUAAAAGUCAGUCAACAUUACAAUUUUCAGUUGUAUAAUAUAAAUUAAUAUAGUAUUUGGUUGACGAUCACACAUUCAAACUAUUUGAUAAUGACAACUUAAAUUCAAGAAAAAGAAAGUUGUUGACAAAGCCAGAUAUAUAUAUAUAUAUAUAUAUAUAUAUAUAUAAUCAAACAAAGAGCAUUCCACGAUAACCAAACUUGAAAGUGACCAUGCAACCUUCUAUUUCAUGUGUUUGAUAUAUAUAUAUAUAUAACUUUUCUUUCGGUCCAACCUGCAGAUUCAAUUGGAGAGAGGCUUUAUAUUAAAUAUAUGAUUUUGAUAUUAAAUAUAAUAAAUACUUUAGAAAAAUAUACAUUUGUUUUAAUGGUAAUAUAGAAGUUAAAUGUUCCAAUCUUACUAUUUACAAUAAUUUUUGAAUAAAAAAUAAUAAAAUAAACCUAAAACAAAUCUCUCUCUCUAUAUAUAUAAAAACAAAUAUUCAAAUAGUAAUUAAUAGUAUAUUCAUGGGUUUGUCUUCCUAAUUUUAACCAUUUUUUUAUUUCUAGUGAUGUAGGGGAAACUUUGUUUUUUUUUUUGGAUGAAGUUGUGGAAUAUAAAUUAAUAUGCUAUUGAAGAAAAUUUCAAAAUCUUCAUAGUUAUUAUAUAUAUAUAUAUAUUGUUGAUUAUUAUUUUGUUUAUCGAUAAUGAACAUUUUAAAUUUCACAAACAAUAAAGAAUUGUCAUCAUAGUUGAUUUUAUAAUUAAUAUUUAAUUUAUUUUUAGAAAUAUAUCCUAAUGAGAUAGGUUUCAAUCCUCUAAUUUUAUUUGUAAAAUUUAAAAUCUUCACUUUUGUUAAUAGUUCAACCAAGUCAAUUAGAAAAAAACAGAGAAAUUUAACUGGAAUAUAAGACUAAUGAAAGUUAUUAGUUUCUCCAUCCCUAGUAGAUUUUUCAUUUAUCCACUAAUCUUACCAUUUGCCUUCACGGGUCUAGCUUGAAUCUGGUUGGGUUGGGCUCUGAACAUAAAUUUUUAAAAGUUUGAAUUUGAUUGAGAAUAUUAUUUUAUUAGUGAAAAUAUUUAAUUUAAUUUUUAUUCUAAAAUAUAUUAAAAUAUUAAAAAUUUUGGAAAUCUUAGCCCACCAGGUCGGACCCAGCUAGACCGAAUGUUGGAUGUUACUUUUGACAAGCCAACUGGACGGACUCCAUAGUUCUCAGUUCUCACUUGCAAAAAGCUUGAAAAAAAUAUCUUUCCCAAUUAGCCACUUUAUUUUUAUAUGUCAAUUAUGCAAAGAAAUUUAGAGAUGCAGACGAUAAUUUGUUGGGAAAUCUAUAAUUUGACUAGUAAAAUAAUAAGUGCAACUAAAAGGACAUUUGACUGACUGAGAAUUUAUUGUAUAUUCUUAUAAACAAAAGAUGGAAUCUAGCUAAUUAUUUUAUAUAUCAAUUUAUAAUUAUAUCGAUGUCAUCUUUUUUUUUUUUUUUGUUAUGGCUACAGGUGGUCAUAGAUCGUGUUGGUCUAAAAUUAAAAAUAUAUAUUAAAAAUAAAAUAUUAAUAUUUUAAAAUAUAUUUUAUAAUUAAAAUUAAAUAAAUAUUUUUAUUAAUUUAAUGAUAUUUAAAAUCAAAUUUAAACUUAAAAAAUGACAUAAAUUUUAAUUUAGUAAAGUCAAAUUUAUCGGUCGAACAAAUAAUUCGACACGUAAACAGGACUAUUUUGCGAGGACCAAAAUUCGUAACCAAUUUUGACUGGAGCUAUUUUCGCUGGCUUUGAUAAAAAACCUGUGAUCAUAAGAAGGGAAAAAUAUGGGUUGAAUAAUUACUCGCUUUACUUUUCACUUUAUUAUUAUUAUUAUUUUAAAUUAUGUAUAAUUCAAAACCUUUUAUUAAUGUGUAGAAACGUCGGCAUUAGACAUUGACUAAUUGUAGACAUUGAUUUUGUUCGGAUUUAACGUUUUUUUUAGUUUAAUAUUAAUAAUAAUCUUGAUAAUAAUAUUAAUAAUAACAUUGAAAAUUAAAAAUCAAAAUUAAUAAUAAAAAAAGAAGAGAGAUAAAAAACAAAGGUUGGUAUGAUGCCGCCGUUGCCCCUAUCCAAUCCUCUGCUUGACCCUAUCAUACAGCCACCCUACCUAGUCCCAUCAGACCCGACCAACCCCCUAUCCAGCCACUAGACCAGACAGCCACCUUGCCACUUCCUACAACCACCAUCCGCUCUUCUUUUGAGCUCUUUAAAAUCCCAUAGCCUCUUUCCCUUAGGACUCUCUUUGGAACACAAAAAAAAACCCUUUCAAACAGAAGCUAAAAAACGCAAACAAACCCCCCAACGCUGAAAAUAGAAAAACAAAAAAAACACAACAACACAGUCCUCCCCAUAAGGAGGAACCUAGCGUUGAGCCAUCUACAACAAAGAAAAGAAGCUGUCAGUUAAUUUUUCAAAAAAAAAAGAACCAAAAAACUUCAAACCUCGAUCUACACCAAUAGAGGCUGUUUUCGACGAAAGGGGUGCGAAAUCUAAGUUUAGGAGGUUGAACGGAACCUCUUGGUCAAUUUUAAAAAUUUUCGAUCACCGAUGACCAUCGUCAACGGUGACCUAGGUGACGACCGACAUGAUGAGACGACGACAGGAAGGUAAGAGAGCUCUCUUUUUUUUUUUUUUUUUUCUAAAACAGGAAAAGAAUGAACACAAAUUUUUUUUUAGUUAUAUAUAGAAAAGCAAAGCUCAAAAUGACGUCGUUUGGGAAGGGGAGGACCCGCGCGUGGACUCGCACCCUACCCGAGGUCUACGCAAUUGACCCGCCAACCCUGCUCCUCAGCGACUCUGAAUUGAUUUAACCAGACCGGAUCAAAUCGCUCCUUCAACCGGCUCAACCGAACGACUCUUCAAUCGGUUCAACCGAAUCGCACGUCGAAUCGAACCCUUUUCGCUUCAAUCGAACAACCGUUGACCCGACUGUUGAUCAAUUCGAUUCAGGUAAAUUUUUUUUUAUUUUUUAUAUAUUAUUAUUUUUGUUAUUUUGAGUAUUUUUUAUAUUUAUGCAUGAUAAAUUUUAAAAUUUGUUAGGAUAAAUUUUUAAUUGUUUUAAUAAUAAUAAAAAUGAAAACAAGUAAGAUAAUAAUUAAAAAAAUAUUAAAAAUGCUUAAAAAAUAAUAAUAUCUCUAAAAGAUAAUAAUAAAAAUAAAAUAAUUUUUAUUAUUUUCUCUGCCUAGAUGUUGGAGGGAAUGAAAACAUAUUCCUAAAAAUAAUUCCGGCUAUAUGUUGGAGAAUUAUUAUUAAUAAAUUUUCAUAAAAUAAAUAUAUGAGAAAUUCUUGAUUAAUUUUUAAAAAUCACUAAAAUCGAACUUGCUCCGAAAAUCCGCCUAGAUUUUGAAAAUUUUUAGAAAUAUUCGCAUUUUCUUAAAAAUGAAACCUCAAUUUUUAAAACCAAAACCCUAGGAUUAUAAAACCCCUAAAAUCCAAAAUCCCUUAAAUCCAAACUCCUUAAAAUCUGAAACCUUAAAACCUUAAAACCCUUAAAUCCAAACCCCUAAAAUUCAAAACCUUAAAAUCUGAUUCUUCAAAAUCUUGAAGCCCUAACCUUUAAAACCUCUACUCAAGCCCUUACUCAAAACAUCUUAAAAAUCUUAAGGACACGUGUGAAAAUUUCACUUAAAGUAAUUUGUUUUCAAAUGUCACUUAGAUGAUAGAGUGUUUAAGAAAAUUUAUUUCAUUAAGUCUUUCAUACCCGUCCUUAAUUCGUCUUAACAAUGGAAUUAAAACUCUAAUAAAGAGUAAUAAUAAAUUGAGAUCUUAAAUAUAAAUAGUCGCACCUAAGCUUUGCCUAGAUGUUGGAGAAUUAGGGUGAUCUCAUUAUAUUUAAGAACCCUACUCUAAAUUUAUAUGUCAUCACUUUGCAUAACAUCCACUAACAUACAUACAUCAUCAUGUUAUUUGUGUUGCAUUUCUCUGUAUUUAAUUUUUAUUUACUACCUGACAAUACCAUCAUUUAUUUCCUCAUAUAAAAUGUUCUACAAAAAAAUACAUAUUUUAAAAUUUUGAUACUAUAAAAUAAAAUAAAAAUAACGUUCCGAAGGAAAUGAUUCUUGGUACUCUGCCUAGAUGUUGGAGAGUCACUAACAAUUAUCUUCUAUAAAGAUUGUUAUUUUAUUUUAAGGAUUAUCGUGUCAAAUAUUAAGCAAAAAUAGUUAUUUUAAAUUCUACCUAGAUGUUAGAAAAUUUUAAAAUAAUUUUUUAACUUUAAGAUUUUCUCAAUAUUCUUAAAUAAAGAGCUUUAGCAAAAUUUUAUUUUUUCAAAUGAAAGAAAUUAGUGUUAAAUUUCAAAUUGAAACCAUUUUUAUCCAACACUGAAAAUAGCGCGUAAUUAAAUGGUACCAGGUUAUGGGCGUUGUGGGGGUGCUAAUCCUUCCCCACACAUAAUCGACUCCCGAACCCAACCUAACCAAAAUUUAUCUUUUUGAUAAAAUUUAAACUUGUUUUUAAAGUUUUAUUAAGAAGAUAAACUUUUGGGUGACCAAUCACACUCUAAAACAGAUUGGUGGCGACUCUCUUUUAUUUUUUUCCAUUUUUAAACACUUUAUGGCUAGCAGUUUCAAAACCGUUAUGACAGCUUGGUGACUCCAUUGGGAACGUUUGAGAGUCAAACCAAAACUUUAAUUAUGCGCUAUUAAUAAUGAUUGGAUUUAAUUGGUUUUAUUUGAUAUUUAAUUUAAUUUCAUUUAUUUUAAUUUUUCAUAAAAUAUAUAUACAAGUUAAUAAAUAAAAUAAAUUGCAUGAUGGUCAUUACUUUAUUUUUAUGAUUUAUUUAUGUUAUUUUAAUUAAUACAUUACUUACUUUGCAUAUACUUUGCAUAUUCACUCACAUGCAUGAGCUCUAUACCCGGGCUCCAUCCCUUUUAAGAGAAAGUGAAGUAGCUACGCUCUCGUGAGAUGAUAACCUCUGCAUUUGUUAGCGAAACACUUUCACUCAAAUUGAACCAUUUUCGUUCGUAGCCUAUAAUGGGUGAGGAUCGGGGUACCUUACUAGUCUAGUAUGGAUGCCAGUGAGAAACAAUUUAAGAACCUUUAGAUGAACAAAUCCCCACUCAGCAUAUAGUAAACCUUAGGGGACUAGCCUUCGAUAGAGCAUUGCCCUUUUGUAGAAAUAAGAGAACAACAUUUUUUUUCUAAAGAAUUUUUUUUGACAUAUAUUUCAUUCAUUUGGUAGUUAUUCAAAAUUUUAGAAUAGAAUGAAUAAUUAUUUAGAAUAGAAUGAAUAAUUUUUAGCGUUAUCUAACAAGUAAAAAAAAUUAAAAAAAAAACAUUUUCAAAGAUUAAAGGAUUUUCUCAAAAUUUUUUUAUUUAUUGACCAAAUAAAAAUUAAUUUUCAAGUCCUAGUUAUUUUUGUAAAAAAAUAAUUUUUUUUUGUAUUUUUGUUUCAUCUUUCGCAUUUCAUGCAUCAUGAUGAAAUAAUACAUGUAUCCCAUCCCACGCACAUCAUGAUAAGAUGAUAUGAGCAUUUUAUCCCAUCCAUAUCAAUGGAUAGUACAUGUAUCUCAUGUUAUGCACAUAUUGAUAAAUGAUACAUGCCUACCAUACGCGUCUUAAUAAGUAGUGCGCACAUUCCAUCUCAUUACAUGUUUAAAGGUAGUGUUAGUUUCACUAGGUUAGCAUAACAUAAGCAUUACAUUCCAUAUAAAAAUAUAACGUGCACUUGAUAGGUUCAUGCAUUUCAUACAAGUAUACUGCAUUAGUCAUAAGAAUACAUCCUAUCAUUCAUGUAAAUAUGUCAUUGCAUUCAUGCAUAUAGAUUCAUGAACAAUAGGGUUGUAUGAAACAUACAUUGCAUUUCAUAUACCAUUAUCCCUGUAAUAUAACACUAUAUUUCUUGCAUACACAUUCAUGGUUAACGAAAAUUUUUAUUUGGGUCCUUGUACAUAUAAAAAUCCAUUGUCAUAGGCAUAUAUACAUUUUAUGACAUUCUUUAACCAUCAUAUUCAUGUGUUCAUAAACAUACUUUGUGUGUCAUUGUUUUUGUGACAUUCAUUCAAUAAGGGUAGUAAUCUAAAAUUUUUUAUCUAAGUUCUAGAAUAAAAUGUCUGUCUUGGUAAAAAUUAGAAUGGUAAAAGUAGAAGAUUAAUUGGAAGUAAGGGUUAGUGCUUUGGAGUUAAAGCAAGAGAAAUUAUGGCUCGAGCUUUGCAAGAUGAAACAACAGAUGGCUCAAUUGAUAGAAAUGGUUAAAGGUAAUGGUGGAGUUGAGUUUGUUCCUCUUCAAGGAUCGUUGUCACUUUCGAUUCCAUCAAGUCAAAAUCAAUCAGCUCCUGUUAGUCUUAGCACUUUACCAGAACAAACUAAGGCAUUGGGUGAUUUGAACAGUGAUCGAAGUUUGGGCGAACUCAAAAGAGAAAUGGGUGAACUAGCCAUACAAAUGACUAAGCUUAAGAGUUUGAUUUCCAAUAAGGAGUCACCUGGCUUCAAACAACCAUCACCAACUAUCUCGAGUCCUACCCAUACCUAAAUCUUUCUUAUGACUACUUUCAACCUCUUUUCCAAGCACCUAGAAUUAAGCCCUCAAGUGUCAUGCAACCUUCAAGAAUUUCACACUUGAAUCCACGUCCCCCACCUCACACUUCACAAUCGCUUGUUUAGCAUGCUAUCCAAUCACCACUUUAUCAGUCCAAUCUUUAACCCAGAGUUUCUCAAUUCACCUCAAGACCAACUAUACCAUCA